GUGAAAAAGGUCCAAAAUCGUCAAGCACACUGUCAACUAAGGCUGGUCGGCGACGUGAACGGCGUGAUAGCGAUGUCGGUGAUGGGCUGGUCGGCGAUGGGCGUGGCGUGACAACAAGUUUCGUGGGUGAGUGACAGCCUGAGAGAAAUAGCUCGCAAGUGGGUGAGUGAGAGAGACAGAUCGGGUGAGUGAGAGGGAAGGUGAAUGAGAGAGAGACAGAGCAAGCGAGUGAGAUGGAUGGGUAAGAAUUUUGGAUUUUUCAUAUUCUUUAGAUUUAAUUUUAAUAUUUUUCAAUGGUAAAAUCUAUUUUUAAUUUUCAAAUUUAAAACUUCGAAACGGCAGAGGAAGCAUGCGUUUCUGGCUUCGUUAUGGUCUCGUGGUGGCCGAAUAUCAUUGCCCAAUAAAUCAUGAUUCUUCGAGAGACCCAGCAACCGCUUGUGAAAACACAAUGGUUAUUCCUAAAGCCAAGCAACUCUCAGCACGAAAAAGUGUUAAGUGGCCAACAACUCCUAACAACCCUUAGACUAAGUCCAGCACUUACCAUACUAUGUCCUAUAUAAUUGAAACGUAAAUAGAUUAUUGACAGCAAAACAAAAUAAUAACUUAAUAUAAUGACGUGUAACAAUGUACAUUUUUGUCAAUUAUGCGUUAGUGUUUGAUGCCCUUCUUUCAAAAAUAAAUAAAAAUUGAUGCAUAUGUACCGCAAUGUCAGUUCUGAGGGAGCUGUGACGAGUAAUGAUUAAAAUAUACAAGUGAUGAAAUUUUGAAUUAUGAUAUAAAUGCAUAAAUGGCAUAAUAUUAAUUAUUAAAUAUAGCAAGUAAAUUUUGAUGCCAUCAUUUUAAAAAAUUAACAAAAAAAUAAACAAAUUGAUAUUCAUGUGCAUGUCUAAUGUUUUAUUUAUAUAAGAUUAAAAUUCUCUUUUCAUCUGGGUUUUUAUUUGAGCAAAUACAAUUAUUGGUAGUUAGCAUAUAGAAGCACAAUUAAAAAGUAUAUCUCGACCGUGCUCAUGUACAUGUCGAAAGAAUUAAAGAAAAGGAGCUCUCUAGAUUCUGUUUGUUUGAUAAGAAAAUGAAUGGAAAAUUUUAUUGAUUCAAAGAGAAAAUUUGUUCGCUGGAUUCUUAUUUGUAAGUCUUACUAAUGAAUUGAGAGUACAUUGAUAAAUAUAGCUGUGUGUGGAAACUUCUACUGCAACAAACUCGUGUCCACAUUUCCAGCGCGCUAACUAUAACAACCUACUGACUAAGUUUGGAAGGAAAUAACAACUUGUUUAACUGUUUUACAACUUGGCUGCUGACUCAUCAUUACACUGAAAACCCCAGCUGACUUCAACUGCUGACUUAGCAUUUAUUCUUAACAGAAAGAUAAUGAUAAAAAAGUUGCUUCAGAAUUCGUGGGCACGCACGGACCCUACUUGUAGAACUCCAUAACCCAUAAGUUGUAAAAAAAGCAUACAAAUCUGAUGCCACUAAAUCCAGCUUCAGUAGCCAAGGUCGUGAAUUCAUGCUUUGUUCGCUCCUUUCCUCCCGGAUAUUGAGUCAUCACCAGCACAUCAGCUAGGGAAUUUAUUUUUGAAUGAGUGCUAGUCUCAGGCAGUUCUGGAAGUACUGACUCCACAACAAUUACCUUCCCUCCUUCGGGAAUACUUUUGUAGCAAUUCUUCAAUAACUUCAAGCAAUGUUCAUCGCUCCAAUCGUGCAGUAUCCACUACAAAAUUUGAAAUAUUAUGAAAUUUGUUCAGGGAUCGAACGCCUAAUACCUGCAAAUUAAAUUCAAAUGAAACUUACCUUGAUCAAAAUGGCGUCGCCAUUUGGAACACUUUGAAACAUGUCACCCCCUACAUGCUUAACACCUGUACUACAUACAAUUUAGUUUCCGCUCUUAGGAUCUAGCGGUAUGGGCAGAGAAUUCAUAAGAGCACUGAUAUUCGCGAAAAGAAUUUAGAUAAAAUUCUGACAAAAACAACAAUAAAUCAACCCUGAUUUUUUCACUAAAUUGCAAAUAUGGUAAAUCGAGUCUGUUUUGAUGUUUUUUGUCAGUUUUUUCUUGUUGCAACAUUUUGUGCUUUUACCCUUUUUUUCCAAAUGAUAAUGUAUAUUUCUUCAUAACAAUGACAUUAAAAAAAAAAAAAAAAGAGAUUGGAAUCAAUUUUCUAAUUAACUUCCUACUUUCUCCAGGAUUUAUAUUGGGAUGAUUAAUUAAAGAAAGCUACUUAAAAGCCACUUGACCAAGUCCCUAACAUUAUUAUAAAGAUAAUUGAAAGUUCAUACCAGGAUACUCAGGGGAAUGCUGUAUAACGUGAGGCAAGUCGAAAUUGAUGCCCUUAAUGUGGGGAUACUUGGAAGUAAUUGCUUUAAGGGUAUUGCCAAGGGAACCGCCAACAUCAACCAAUUGCUUUAUGUGCUCGAAACCCUUGUAAGCCUCAAGGAUUUUUUGAAGGACCAAAGUGGUAUGGUUGAACAUCGCUGUGCUGAAAACUUCAUUGAACCUGGGGUCCAAUCCUAGGUACUCGAAAGCGUUCGUUCCGUGGACUCGGUCAAAUGGAACUCCUCCUUCAAUAAUAGUUUCUUUCAGUUGGGACCUACAUGACCAGUUAAUCAAUCAUCAUUUUGCGUUUGGCCGAACUUUUUUAGAUACAAUGAUUAGUGGUUGAUAAAAACAAAAAUAAUAAAGGGAUAUAUCUAUAUUAUAUAUAUGACGAUGUAAACGUUUCAUAAAAUCCCUUAACAGAUAAGAUGAGUAGAGGAUUCAUUGCCAUUAAAAAUUUUAUGUUAUAUCUUAACUCAUAACUGUCACAUACAUCUUUAUGAAAACGAGCAAAAAAAUGGGAAUCAGGGUAAUAUUAUCAUACGGGUGGGUUGCUAAAUUUUAGCAACGGCACAAAUUAGGAGAUAUGUAGUUUGUAGUACUUUUACAUAUAGCUAGCUCCUGCUGUUAUUUUGUUUUCCCUAAAAGAUUUUAUUUCUAAUUCUCUCCAGGCAAGUGAUCAUACCACCCCAAGUGAAUCUUUUAAUUCAGAGAAAUUCUACGGAAGAAGUUAAGAAAUUUUUGUUCUUCCAGGAUUUCUGUCAGAACGGAAGAAACUACUCAAUUAAUGCUUUCAAUAGAACAAAAUACAUUGUCUUUUUCAUAUAUGUUACACUCAUGUCCUCUAUAAUUAAAAGACAAAAAUACCUCCGAAAGAAAACAUAUUUCCUCAUAUCCUCUGUAGCUGCAAGUAAUUAAAACACCACCAACAAUAGUUUACCCGUUCUUGAAUUGAUAUGACUAGAAGUAUAUUAAUAAUGAUUUAUAAGUUUGAGAGUGAGCCUUCUACAUUUUAUCGCUCACUUAUAUGAACACGUUUGUUUUUCUUUUUCGAUGACCUGAAUUUAGAAAUAAGUUGAGUAUGAAGUCGAUUAUGAUUUAAGACUUGGGAGAAAUGCAUGAUUGGAUCUGAAGGCGUAGAAAGAGAAUUGUAUUAUAAACCCAUGUAUUUUUACCCUAACUUAAAAAAAGAAAAAUUCAGGGGAUUAAAAUGAUAGAGUGGACAAACCAGCUGUCGAGAAAGGCCUCGUCCUGAAUUAAGGCCAAUACAGGGCCUAAUGAGACACCAUCUUGAUUAGGCACAAAGUAUUUGGAAACAUCAUUCAAACCGUAUAGCCUGUGAGAACCAUCUACAUCAUCAAGUGAGCAUUCAACAAUACCAUAGCUAGCCAGAAGCCCGAGUAUCCGGUCCAGCAUCGUGGGUGCGUCUUUGUUCUUGGUGGCGGGCAACUGAGCGGCAAUCUCUGAAGCUGAGAGCUUUGCUCCAGGACCAGCUUUGGCUAUGAUCUCCAAAAGUCCCAGCUUAAUUACUGCUUUCAUGGUCAUGUGGAGCACUGAACCCGUCAUCACUUCACAGGCAUAUGCAAAGUUUUCGUCUCUCGCUUCAUUAGCCAUAUUUUCUUGAAUUUCCUUAUCUGUUUUCCUCAGAAACAAUGCAUUUAUAGUGGAGUGAAGAGUUACUGUGUGUCCAAGAUUUUAGGUUGUAAAAUCUGACCCGGAAGUUUUCGAUAGUUCAAGUUAGACUAAAUGACAGAAAUUAAAUUAUGAUUAUAACUUUUUCAAAGAUAAAAGUAUGGAAGCUUGGCAACUCUAAAAAAAUUAUAUUAUUAGGGAUAAAAACUUUAUUUAAUUUGCAUAAAUUGAAAUGACAUAUUGCAUGAUUCUACAUGUCUCGUAUUAUUUCUUUUAUUUUGUCGACUUUAAAAAAUCUGAAUGGCCAACCUCUUCGAAAAUGUAUUUAAUAGUUUUUUAUAGCGAUGUAUUGUUCAAUAGUUUUUUAUAGCGAUGUAUUGGAAGUAAUUUAAAAGAUCAAACAUUUCAAAUGAGAUCCUAUUAUCAAACAAGAGGAAUUCUAAAAUAUAUCGGAGGUAUUAUGUCAGUUACACAAUAAGUCAAUAAUAUUAUAGAAUGUGUGCAUUUAUUUGAAAAAUUACCAUGUAAGUGGUACUUAUAUUAAAUCCAAUUACACACGUCACAUAUACAUUGAUUAGUUGUAUUACCCCUGAUUUAUUCUAAAAUUUAUCGUCAAACAGAGAGCUUUUAGUUGAAAUGAGGAACUAUAAUUAUUUACUGACAUAAGUUUUUCCUUUGAUUAUAAUAUAUUAACAUUUCAUGUGAGGAAAUAUUAGUUUUACAUUUUUUUUCCUAUUAUAACAUGUUUUAAAAAAGGAUUAUAAUUCUUACUUAGUUUUUUUUUUCGCAUCUAGUCUUUUUUAGUGUUCCGAAUUUAGUGAAAAAAGGCAGCUUAAUUAUAAAUAAAGUGAAACAUUCUGGCUUAAUUGUUAACAUUAAAAUUUAAAAUUCAAUAUUAACCACUUAUUUCAUUAAAAGAGACUAAAAGAGAGAGAGAGAGAAGAUUCUUGUCCAAAAGAAAAAUAAAAUAAAGAAAAGCAAACGAAUACUUCACUUUCAUCGAAAUUUUCAAAUAUCAAUUUUUAUGACUUUAGGCCAAAUUUGCCAUGCAAAAUUGGAUUGGAUUAAUUAUUAGAAUAAGACUGAAUUAGAUUACUUGGAUAAAGUCGAAUUAUAUUAUACUGUCUUAUGUUUGGUGUAGUACGAGAUUGAACUAUGUUAAAUUAUAUUUCAAUGAUAUCAAAUAGCAUUUAAGUUGAUAUUUGAAUAUGAACAUCAGUUAUUCAUGAAAUUUUAUAACAAUAAGGAAACAAAUUUAAAAAGCAAUUAAUUAGAAAAUUAAGUAUAUUGUAAAUAAGUUAUUAGGUAGUCAUAAUAUAAUAAACAAAUGAAAAAGAAAUAAAAAUUUAAAAAUUUAAUUAAUUUUUAUCAAAUAUUUAAAAAAAAUUAUAUAAAAUCAAUUAAUUCUGGUAUUUUUAAUUUUCAUGAUUAUUUUUUAAUAUUAUAUUAGUGAUUAUUAAAUUUUAUACAAUCACUAAUGCAAUAAGUUAUUAAAUGGUUAAUUUAUAAAUUAUUAAAUAUACAAGUAAUGAAAAUUUAAUCUCAAGAGUUAUUAGAAGUAAAAUUGUCAAUUUAAUUAGAUCAUAUAUAAUAAAUAAAAAUCUUAAGUAAAUCAUAAAUAAAAAUUAAUUGAUUAAUUAAUAUUAACAGAUAAUUUUUCUUUAAUUUUAUCCAACUAAACAAAUAUGUAAAUUAGGAUUACUAAUCCGAUGAUUUUAGGAUUAAAUUCAAAUUUAGUCUCCUUUAAUUCAAUUCAAAUAAAUUUAUCAAAUAUAAAAUAAAUAUUUAAUUUUAGAAUUAGUGCAAUUGGAUACUUAAUCCUACAUCCAAACAUGGUCUCAGUUGUCAUAAGGGCAACUUAGAAAGAGUCGUAACCGAAAACAUUUAUAAAGCCAUUUUUUCUUUUAAUUUUCAGGUUCAUAUAUAUAUAUAUAUGUGUGUGUGUGUGUAUAAUCUUUCUGCCAAUGAAGCGCCUACCAAUCAGAGAAGUUAAUUUUUUAAUAUAUUUUUCGACGCCGGCCCCACCCCUGAUCUUAUAGCUUUGACUCCAGAUGAAUGAGGCUUUUCAUUCACGUUAUUCUUUGAAAGAUCGUGAUUCCAAAGGCUGCUGACAAAAGAAGAUUCUGGAGGCUGCCAAUCAUGGCCAUCGCUGCAUAAAUAUAUAUAUAUUAAAUCAAACAGGAGUGCGGUUACUUUAUACGUACAACUUGGGUUCUUGCCUUGCUGCCGUCAUGGAGAAUUAAUGCCACUGGUCAACGGUGAAUCAAUGGCCAUCGGGCACCAAAUUCAUGACCAAUCAAUGGCCAACAAGCACCAAAUUAAUGCCAAGCACACCAACAACCACGGAUUAAAUGGCAAGUUUAGUGUUUUAAAGUUUAGAAUAUGGAGAAGCACUUGCUACUGUAUCCAGGUAUUAAAUCAUCAAAAACCAAUUUGGUUUGGACUCUUCAAUUUCAAUUUGACUUCUACACCAACACCACACAACAACUCAACAACCGAAUCACUCGUCCUAAUAGCAUAGCAAUCCAGUCGUCGGUUGCCCGCACGUGAGAGACAAUUUUCUUAUUCGUGCUCGGAAUUGUUGAAUUAAUUUUACAAUUCUCUUGUACCAAUUUUCAUCAUAUAUGCUCCCUCAAGAAGUGAAGAUCGAUGUCGGAAUCACUUUAAUUUAGUUUCAAUUACAUGAUGUUUGGGAUCUUCUUAUACCAAUUUCGGUCUACAAUUGCCUCAAGUAUCCAUGUCCGUCAAAUCUUAUUUGUAUUAAAGCAACCGCUUAAACCGUUAACCUGUUUGAUUUAAAAAACAAAUAUUUGGAGCUGUUAGAUUGAACUCGUGUAAAUUAGGAUUACUAAUCCGAUAAUUUUAAAAUUAAAUUCAAAUUUAGUUUCCUUUAAUUCAAUUCAAGUAAAUUUAUUAAAUAUGAAAUAAAUAUUUAAUCUUAAAAUUAAUCCAAUUGGAUACUUAAUCCUGACAUCCAGACAAGGCCUUAUUUGCCUUAAAGGCAACUUAAAAAGAGGUGUGACCGAAAAUGUUUAUAAAGCCUUUUUUUUUUUCGGGUUCAUAUAUAUAUAUAUAUAUAAUCUUUAUGCCAAUGAAGCACCUGUCAAUUAGCGAAGUUAAUUUUUUUAAAAUUUUUUUUCGACUGUGAUUCUGGAGGCUGCUGUCAAGACAAGAUUCCAGAGGAUGCUGAUAAGACAAAUUCAAAUUGACCUUUUUAAUAAUUAUUAUCUUUUCUAAGGUUUAAAAUUUUAUGUGUAACGUACAGCUAAUGUGAUGUAAGUUUUACCUGAUGUAUGAGUUGAUGAACCAUCAUGGUGAAAUCAAAAUACAAAAAUAAUAGAGGUCAAUAACAGCAUUCAAAAGAAAAGAAAAAUUAAAACACAAAGAAAAUAAGGCCGUUGGAUUCGUUUUUUCAAUUUUUUUUCUGAAUAUUAAUACGUUACAAUGAAAGAACUUGCUAAUAUUUUCCAUAUUGAUCAGGAUAAAAAGAUUGUUGAUACAAUCAUACGUCAAUUUUGUAAUAUUAUAGUACAAUUCAAAAGUUUUAUUUUAUUUUAAAAUAUAUUUAUCCUACAUAUUUAUAAAAGAUAUUGUAAAAGAAUUAAAUUAAUUAAGAUAAAAUCUUCCUGCAAUCAUACUUGUUCAAGCUUCAAGUGUUCUCUACAUUCACUAAAUUUUAUAAAAGUAUCUUCUUACUUUUUCUACUCUAUAGCCUUUCUCUUGUGAUGGAAAAUAAAUUCUUAACAAGCAUAGACUUGGAUAGGCUAGAAACCCUUUUUAUAACAAUAUUUCAUAACUUAGAAGACUUUACACUUCCUCCAUCAAAGAAGUGAAUUUAAUAACCUUUAUCACUUCGAUUAUGAAAAUGAUUAGUAAACUAUAAUGCUAUCCCUUGAAAUAAAUAAGUAGGUUAUUAAUAUAAGUUUAUCUAUUUAUUUAAAAAAAAAUCACUUAUCAUGUGGACUAUAUAAUGAAACUUUGUGGAGAUAUAUCUACCCACAUUUAACUAUAUAAUGAGAUAUGAAAUUAGAGGUCCAAGGAGUAGUACUCAAAUCUACAACCUCAAAAGUUGAGGUCGUGGCAGGCAAAAGAAAAAGGAGAACCACGUGUUGCUAGGAAAGGAACUUACAUGAGUAACUGCAAAUUAAGCAAACACUAAAUUUUUCACUCUUUAUAUGAUAAAAUCGGAAUGUGUAUAAAAAAUAAACAAUCAAAAAAUAAACCAACACAAUUGAAAACAAUAAAUCAACCAUAAGAGAUACAAAUUAUUUUAUGUGGAAAACUCAAAUCGAGAAAAAACCACAGGACCAUAGUCCAAUAUAACCUUCCAUUAUAUUAAUAAUGGGAUUACUGCACAAAUUCUUCUCUAAAUAAUACUAGAGGCAAACAAUAUCAAGAAUCUCAACAAUCUUGCUCAUAGUAAUAGUCUAAUAUUUUUCAUUCUAACAAGUGGGUAUCUCAGAUAACAGCCAAUGAGAGAAUGAAAUAAAAAUCAAGACCAGUAAGAAUGUAGAGGGCGAUGCCAAAAAUUUACCUUCCAAAUUUGGGAGAUUAAGUUUGCCUUUCGAUCGUCCAUUCAAAGAUUAAAAUCCUUACCCUCAAAUUGAGUUGGCCACUGUCUUCUUUUUCUCUCUCAUCUUUUCUAUGUUUUUAAGGCUGCUACUUCACUUGUCUACUUUUUCUUUUAUAGCCAGGUGAUUUUCAAAGCCCAAUUUGAUGACAAUUUUCAAUUAGCCAUAACAUCUUUCCUUUAAUUUCUUAAACACCCAAACUAAUGGAAACUUUGGUUUGGGCCACCCAAAUGAGAUGGAUUCAACAAAUCUUCCCAUCAGAUCAUAUGGGGGGCACUACCAAGCCCGUUCUCUGCUGACAGUCUUUCAGCUUCUCCUUGGGCAACGACUUUGUCAUCAUAUCUAACAUAUUCUUCAUGAAUAUAGUCAGGCUGCAACUAUUUCUUUUCAAGCACGUCUUGUAUUCAUUGAUACCUCACAUUAAUAUGCUUGAAUUUCGAAUGGUAUGUUAAAUUCAUUGCCAAGUGAGAGCACUUUGAUUAUCACAGUACACGACAUAGCUAUUUUGUUUCACAUCCAGCUCUUGAAAGAAAUUCUUCACCACAAAGGGUUUUAGUGAUUGCAAUAUACUCUGCUUCUGUGGUGGAGAAAACAACACGAAGUUUGAAAUCCUCUUAGACUACCCUUUGCAAAGGUAAGUAAAUAUCCUGAUAGGAAUUUUCCAGGAUCAACAUCUCUUGCCAUAUAUGUUGUACACUUAUAACACAGCUUGUCACCAUUAAAACAUAAACAUGCCUUGGAAGUGACUCUGAGAUAUCUGAGGAUCCAUUUAACUGUUGUUCAGUGUUCUUUGCCUGUACUAUAAAGAAACUGACUGAGUACACCAACUGCAUGGGCAAUAUUUGGUACAAGCCAUGGCGUACAUCAGUCUGCGAAGUGUUGAAGCAUAAAAUAGUCCUUUCAUCUGCUGCUUCUCUUUCUCGCUUGUAGGAAAAUGCUUGGAACUAAGCCUAAAAUGGCCUGCAAGUGGAGAACAAACAUAUUUUGCCUUGCUCAUGUUAAUUCUUUCAAGAGCACUUUCAAUAAAUGCUUCUUGAGAUAACCAUAACUUGUCAAUUUUUCUGUCAUAGGAAAUCGUCAUGCCAAGAAUGUAUUUUUCGAUCCUUGAUCUUUUAUUAUAAAUGACUUGCUAAGCUUUUUCUUUAGAUUAUCAAUCUUACUAGCAUCAUGGUCAACAAUUAACAUAUCAUCCACAUAAAGAAAAAGAAUGAUAAAAUUAUUAUCACCAAGCUUCUUUACAAAAAGAGAAUGGUCAGACAUAAUAUUGCUAACCAUGAUUCUCUGUAAAAAAAUCAAAUUUUUUGUAAUAUAGUCUUGGUGCCUAUUUCAGUCAAUACAAACUUUUCUUCAACUUGCAUACACUUUCUUUGUUGCCUUUAACAUUGAAUCAUUUAGGUUGCCCCAUGAAUAUCUCCUCCUUUAAGUCACCAUGCAAGAAACUCCUUCUCAUAUCCUAGAGACUUUCUAUCCAUCAACAUCCAAGAUUUAUCCAUAUUUAGACUAUUAACUUUCCUACAAAUGCAUCACAUUUCAUUUGUUCAGUUUUAUUAAUAUUGGAGUUUGAUAUUGUUUCCAACCAUAAGAACAACUAUUAAAGUUACAAAAUCAACAAGAAAACAGCAGUUAAAAUACAAUAAAAAAUAACACUUAACAGCAAGAGAAAACCUAUAUCUUCAUCAUGACUAAUUAUAACAGUAAUAUUAUAAGCCAUAUACCAUAAAUCAUGGAAAGAGCAAAUAAUAUAAUUUUCAAAAAAUAGAGAAAUAGAAAAAAAUAGAAGUACCUUUUGCUAUUCGUUCCAAGAAUCGCGGAGCUAGUAACAACUUAAGAGACUGAAUCACGACUAAAAAUAGAGAAGAAUAGAAGCAAGACUUGUUUUUAGAUUUCUACUGAAAAAGACAAAAUUAUUGAAAUAAAACUUGUCCACAACAAUAAACUGGCUAGCUAUUAAAAUGAUUUAAACAAUCCAUAAAUAAAGUAUUAAAUUAAGUAUGCAAAUGUCACAUGUAGCAAAACAACAUAUACAAUACGAUGAAAUUUCAACAGCAAAAUUGGGUGUUAAAACCGUUAAAUAAAAUCCAUUUUUCCAUUAGAGAAAUCUAAAUUUUGAGAAUUUUGGUUUAGCUUGCUUUGGUCAAACUCAGUCGGUCUGCACAGUGACAAAGAAAAAGAAGCAGUUGAAACAAAAUGAGAGUGACAUUGCAUAGACUUGAUAGUGAAAUGUCAUUUUCUUGAUGCUAAUUUAUUCCGUUUCUAUUUGGAAUGAUUGAUACAAGCGGAAAGGUUUUAAAGAAUUGCUUAAAAUACUUUAUAGGUGCAAAGAGCAAUUGCAGCAGUUUAGCCAUGUAAAUAAGUAAGCACUUGACCAGUAUGUAAAGUUCACAAAGUAGCUAGAAGAACUCCAGAGAAGGCAUUAGUAGAAUGUAGCCACUAUAAAAAUUUCCACAAACAAAUUAAUUUAUAAAAAAGCACUGGAUAAGGAGUUAAGCAUACAUUAAUUUGUUUUUGGAACAUACAGCGAAAUUUCCAUAUUGGCUACUAUUCUACUAAUGGUUUCUUUCCACAAUUCCCAAUAUUAAGAUCUAUUGAAAACUAAGCAUACAUUAAAUUGCUUGUGGAAAUUUACAUAAGUCAAUAUAACAGCAGUUGAACUGGAUGCAGUUUGGGUGGAGAAAAAUGGUUUAUGUUCCUAAUUCCCAUUAUUAUGUUCUAUUGAAAAUUAAACAUACAGUAAUUUAUUUCUGGAAAUUUACAUAAGUCAAUAUAAUAGUAGCUGAACUGGAUGCAGUUUGGGUGGAGAAGUAGUGAGCGCUGGUUUUGGUGGAGGUGUUGUCAUUAAAGAGGUACUAAAUAACUACAACUUUAAAUCAAAAGAAAGAGUUUGUGCUAAUAUUUGCCAUGCAUAACUUCAACUUUAAAUCAAACUAAUGCUUACAAAUGGCAUGCAUCCAUAUCCACCACGUCGCAUACUACAUCACUCUUAUAAAUCUUUCUAAUGGAGAAAGGAACACGACAUUAUUCGCAUUUUUGUCCCUUUCUUAAUCUACUAUAUUUUGUAAGGUGCUGGAUAUUUUUCUGUUGAAAGUCCUAUCACAUCAAUUAGCGCCUUUAAAAUUAUGUUCUCGCUAUUGUUGAUAUCAAUUAUCACAUUGCACACGUUAUCUUUGAUGGUGCCACGUGUUCUGAAAUCUUACUGCACUAAUUAUCCUCUUCAAAUCUUGGUGCUAAUAAAAUCUUCUACAUAGUGUAAUUCAACAUCUCUCCUUCAUGUACCUCUUAACUCUAAAGCUUCUUCAUCAUCUUCAUCCUCAACAUUAUUCAUCUCUACUUAGCCAUAGCGUUUAUUUUCUCUCUUUCAAAUAUCAAAUAAUGGUUAAUAUUUUCUUCAGGAUUAUCUUUUCUUUCUUGCUUGUGAUGCUGCUGCUGCUGCUGCUCAUGAAUGAUAAAGUGGCACUAGGGCAAGAUGGGGAUCCCGUGGGAUCAACACAAGGAGGAGGAGGAAGAGAAAUGGUGCCUGCCUUGUUCAUUUUUGGAGAUUCACUUAUCGAUAAUGGCAACAAUAACAAUCUUCCUUCUUUUGCCAAAGCAAAUUAUUACCCCUAUGAUAUCGAUUUCAAUGGUGCCCCAACUGGCCGCUUUUCUAACGGCUACACCAUGGUCGAUGAAAUUGGUAACUCUCUUUAUCUAUGCAUUUGAUUUAUAUUUUUAUAAUUUCUUUUCCUUUUCAAAAUCCUGAAGGUACAUGAAAAUUUAUAUACACCAUGAUUGCAUGCAAUGCAGGGUAUUUUAAUUGCUCAUCUGACGAAUUAUUAUGAUUACUUCUUCGCUAGCUAAAAGAAAAAGCAUAAAACAGAUGUCAUUUUUAGAUUUUUCUUCUUUGUAAAUUUGUGUCACACUCUUGAGCAUAGUUAGAAAUAUCUGUGAAGUGAGUUUCAUAGUCAUGGCUUCAAUGACACAAAUCCAAAUUCAUUACAAUUAAUUAAUUGGUUUCCUACUUCUAUCCCUUUUAAAAAAAAUAACAAAAUAAAAGCACUUGUUUAGUUAUCUAUUUGUGGGGGGGGGGGGGGAGGACUAUUGCCAUUUAUUGCUCUGCCCCUACCUCUAUAUGUCUCUUUGGGAGGGCUCACACUGUCCCAUAAUAUUUAUUUCUAAACAAUCACAGUCAUUAUCUUAAAUCAAUAAAAAUAACAGAAUUUUUUCUUUUAUUUUUUACAUUUAUUAUAUCUACACCCACUUAUACCUAACUUGUAUUAAUCUGCAAGUACGAUCUGUUUGGGGAUAAAUUCACCAUAUCUGGUAGGCAUGUCUUAUUAAUGGCUAAAAGCUUCCAUAUGCAUAACCUCUUUAAAUUGUGUCCCCUUUCAAAGAAAAUUUUCUUUAUUGUCCAUUAGCUUUUAUUUACUCUUCACAAAUAUUUUUAAUGUCAUAUUAACCAAAUCUUGUAAAUUCAUCCAUUCGGCUGAACUACUGGGACUUCCUCUGAUUCCUGCAUACUCUGAAGCUUCAUCCCAACAGAAGCUGUGAACAUUAUGUUUGGAAGAAAAGCUUUCUAUGGUGACCAGAGCGUUGUUUAUCCCAUGAAGUUCCAGCAGCUUGCCAGUCUUUAAACUUAGAAAUUAAAGGGACAUAUGUUAUUGUAAUGUUUCUUGCUUGCUUAAUUGCUUUGCAUAAUUGUUGGGAUUAUAUGCUCUUUUAAAGCAUAUUAAUUUAUUUUCUGAUUAAUAAAAUAUUUGAGAUAUUUUCAAUUGCAUAAAUAUUUUGAAUAAGGUCCGUUUAAUCAUAUUAUAUGUAUUUAUGUGAUCAUCAUAUGGAUUCACAGAAGAUAUAAAUACAAGUUAUCUUAUGAUUAAAUAAAUUAAGUUCGCAGUUGAUAAAUAGAGUUGGGCGCUCUAUUUAUGUUUAGACUGUAGUUAAUUAAUUGAAUGAUUUGUCUUAAUCAUAUAUCAAUUUACUGAUGUAGUUUGACUACAUUGAGUUGGAUGACAUAUGAGAUUUAAUUAACCUUGAAAUGACUGUUAGACUUAUUAAAUCUCAUAAGUAUUGAUUUUACUGUAAUCUUAAUCUUGAGUUAGUUAUGAUUUCAUGAUUGUAAUUGUUAAUCCAUUUGAGUUACCAAUGGGCACGACAUACAAUUGUGGUCAAGAUUACCCGGUAUCUUGGUGGGAGCAAUUAUGAGUAUUGGAGUUAUAGAUUAACAAUAUAGAAUUUGUACGACGCAUCUCUUGAUGGGUUUUCGGCACUUGAUCAUAGAAUUCUCUGAUCAGAGUGUGUCAACAUAUUUAGUAUGUUGAAAAUGAUCAUUAGAGAAAACCAGUAAGUAUCAAAGAACAAGAUGUAAUUAAAUUGAUUGGACAAUUGAGAUAUCGAUUUAAUUAACGAUGUGGUACAAAUGAUUGAGCAGUAAAGAAAUCAGUGUGGCUUGGGACGAAUUAUUAUUCGAACAUACAAUUAUGGAGGUCAGUUCCAAUCUUAUAGUGGAGUAGAGUUCGAAUUAAAUGAUUAGGCUUAUUUAAUUACAGGAUUAAUUGUUGUAGCCACUAUUGUAUAUUCCCAAAUGAUCCCUGGGUUAGCUCAUUUAAUUGACUGCAUCGCUACUGGAUUAAUAAGUAAGAUAACUAGCUAUUUAGGUUAAAAGCCUAAAUAUAUUAUUUAGUGGGAGGCUCCAUUAAUAUGCUUGAGUGUAAGGGGCCUUGUGUUAUUUUACAAGGUGGACCCCUAUAACACAAGAACAAGUAACGUGACUUUUGUUUUAAUUAUUUUUAAUUUAAAUCAAAUGGGAUUUAAUAGAAUUAAUAAAUAAAUAAAUAUGGAGCCUAGGGUUUCCACUAAAUAGAGAUAUAAAAAAGCUUAUUUUCUCUAAAGAAAAUAGAUAGAGGCCACAUUAUACAAAUCAGAGAAAAAGAUUUUCUCUCUAAUUUUGAGAGAAAUUUUCUUGUGCUAGUUGCUUUAGUGGUGAUAAAGGCACCCACACAUCAAGUGUAGAUCAAACCUGAGUCAUAGUCUAGAAGAUUAUUUGGUGGCGGAUCAUGAUCUAACAGGAGUAGUGAUGACGGAUCGUGGUAUGGGAGCCUAAAUCACUUUAGUGAAAAAAACAAAGAUUGUUCAUCUUCUCAAAUUUUCAAGGUACGAUUUCUAUAGUACAAAUUCUUAUAUAUUGUAUGAGAUCAAUCCUAAAUUUUUUAAAAAAAAAAAAACUGAUUUUUUCCACAACAAUUAUUAGCCACCGGUGUCUCGUCUGUCCAUGUGAGUUUUUACUUGUUUAAUUUGCUUGUGGGAAGUUUAUGUAAUCAAAGAACAAGUUGUGAUUGUGUUUUGUUGCGUUGAUAGUGGUUCAGUAAUUGGGACUACUUUGAUUAUGUUUUGGUAAUAGAUUUUGCUAGUUUACUAGUGCUUCAGUAGGAUUUUUCUUUUUUUAAAUUAUUAACUUAUGCAUCUAUUGAAAUCUGAACUCAAAACUUAAGCCCCAAAGAAAUUGCUUGUUACCAUUGGAAUUAGACUUGACUUUCGUAGUUUAUUAAUCAACUUGCUUGCUAGGUAGCCUUGCCAUAUGAUAUGGUUUGCUAUCUUAUGGGUGGUGAUGUUUCCCUUGCAAUACCCCUCGCAUCUGUGUAAGGACAUCCAUCUAAUUUUGUUGAUAAUUUUGGAAGUUAAACUUUCUUCCUUAAUUUGAAUGAUUGAAAGAUAAUAUAUAAUUUUAGCCUCGUUGAUUCAAAAAGGGUAGAUUUAAAAGAGAGAUUGAUUCAAAAAGAUUAAAUUAAACGUUCAAAAAAAUUUAUAAAAAACGCAAGAUAUCCGCAAACUGUCUAAAAUACUAUCCUUUAAUCAAUAAUAUUUUAAAUAAGGAGAUUAUGGGUGGACCAAAAAUCCAUGUACCAAAGCCCAAGCAAACGCGCAGAUUUAACAACCAGUUUGGAACAGCUGCGUUACCAAAUUAUUUAUAGGUUUGGGUUCGGUUACAAAAACUCAACCACAAAAAUAAAUUUAUGUUCACUUAAAUUUCUACAAAAAUCUUCUAAAACCCCUUUAUAAUUGUUAACUUUUUGGUUGAGAGAGGCGUAGAUCACUCAACAUGUAUUAGUAGUCAAAAUUAGAAGAGAAACUUUAUCUAGAUUACUACAUUUACCAAAUAAUUGUAAUAAGUGAAUAUGAAAUAGUUCACUCAAAGCAAGGAUAAAUGGAUGAAAGUACUACACAUUUUAUUCACAAUGAGGUUUCCUUUUAUAGGCGUUACAUGAACAAACUUAACGAAAUAAUAGCAGCCAUUAUUCAGCAAAUACUGCAGCUACUUUCCAGUAACUAUAGCCUAAAGACUAGGUAAACACAAUCUUGCAAAUAACAUUACCAACAAACUUCCUAAAGACUAGGACCAUAAAAGCAACUUAUUGACACAAGGAAAUUCCAACAAUCCCUCCCUUAAACUAAAUGUUGUUAACAUUCAGUUUAAACAUUCUGCAGAAUCUUCUUCAAAUUGCAAUUUGCAAACUCCAAGUGACUUUCUCAGCUUCAAAAAACUAGCCAAUUUGAGGGGUUUAGUAAAGAUGUCAGCAACUUGGUCUUCACUCCUGCAAUAAACAAGAUCAAUGACUUCAUUUUUUGUCAAGUCUCGCAAGAAAUGGUAUCUCACAUCUAUGUGCUUGCAUCUUCCAUGUAGAACCGGAUUCUUUGAAAGUUUAAUUGUUGAACUAUUAUCACAGAAGAUAUGUGUUGACUCUAGUUGCUUAAAUUGAAGUUCAUGAAGAAUAUUUCUCAGCCAAAGUGCUUGACAUGCACAAGAAGCUGCUGCAACAAACUCAGCCUCAGUUGUUGACAAAGUAACUAUCGGUUGCUUCUUAGAUGACCAUGAAAUAGCUGCUGAACCAAACAUAAAUACAUAUCCAGAUGUGCUUCUUCUGUCAUCCAAAUCUCCAGCAUAAUCACUGUCUGUAAAGCCAUACAAAUAUGAUUUUUUACCCUUUUUGUAGAACAACCCAAAUUCACACUACUAGAAAAAUGGGCUUUAUUGACACCAAUUUAGUGUCAGUAAUUACUUUUGUUGACACUUGUUAAUUGUGUCAGUAAUGCUCAAGCCAGAACACACUGACACUAAUUUUUGGUGUCAGUGAUUUUUGCGUCAGUAUUUUGAGUCACUAUAGUAUCACCACAAUAGUGAUACUAUGAUGUUAGAAUCAGUUGAUACUAUUUCUAUGUCAGUAUUUUGUGUCACUAGAGAGUCACAAGGAUAGUGACUCAAUCGUGUUAGCAUUUAAUGAUACUAUUUACAUGUCACUGAUUUAUGUGACUACAAUAUCAGGAAUCCACUGACUCAGUAACAUCAAAAAUUCUUAUCGUCAUUUAAAUAAUUAGUGUCAGUAUUAACGAUGCUUUACCGGUUGUGUUUUAUUUUUUUUAAUCACAUUAUUCAUGUUUAUUUUACAAUUAAAAUAAACCCAAAAUAUAUUAAACAUACCAAAUCUUGUAAUGCAAUUCACAUAAUACACCUUGCAAAUACAUCAGUUAAAUUAAAAUAGUUCAAAUACAUCAUUGUUUGGGGGUAAAAAACAAGUUCAAGUACUAAAUUAAGCUUUGAACAAGUAGUAUACAUGAUAAAGUACUAAAUUAAUUUCGGAAAAUUUAGCCAAGAAGAAAAAAUAGAUAACAAUGUCACUGAUUUUGGAGUCCGCAUAUGCCUUCAUUUUUUUUCCACCUACAAGUAUAUAAAAUCAAUUAGCACAACACAAAAAAUGAGUCAUAGAUUUGUUUUAAAGAAAACUAAUCAUAAAUUACUUGUAUGUUACCUCGGGAUUGUAGGCUGUAAUUAACUUGGCAACGUAUGUAGCCCACUGAUCACGAAGUCGCGAGAGGUCCUUGACAGUGUAUUCCUCAACUCCCUUGAACUUUAAUUUUAAAACAACAAGUUAUUCACCGAAAAUCCUUGACUAAACUACUUAAUUAUCAUUCAUUUAAAUAUAUUUGUGUGUUAACAAUUAAAGCCAACAAAUAAACUCCAACAAUGUUACUGUUUUAUCCAAAAUUAUAUAGGUAAAUACUGAACAUCCUGAUCAUGGUAAUUUAAAAAAAAAAAAACAACUUGUGAAUCCCAACAGCAACAAUAUUUGAUAGUCGAAGCAACUUGUGAACCCCAACAGUACGCGAUUUAAUACAAAUAUGGAUGUAGAUACAAAACCUUAAUUAGGAUGACAACUUAUCCUCAUCAAAGUAAAGUACAAGCAACGACACCAUAGCACAUCCCCACUAACAACUACUUUGCAACCCAAACAAUUGUUUUGUGUUGGGAUAUGCAGUACAUUGUGUAUAUCCCAAAUCCUAAUUCAUGUCUAUAUGGAUAUUCAUAUAAUCUAUUCAACAGUAUGCAACAUAGUCACCAUUAUAAGUACCUCACAGUUUAUAAAAUGCAUACAAUACGCAAUAAAAAGAUAACUGUAAAGAAGCACACAAGUGUUUGAGCUGAUUCAUUUAACAAUAAAUUAAAACAAUAUGAUGCAGUAUUGUAAAAAUCAUUUUCAAUACUUACAUUAUUUUUCAGAACGUUCACAUUUGUGAUGAUAUCUUGCAUGUAUUUCAUCACAUAGUAACCACAUUCAAAGCUGCUCGGCUGCCUCAGACACUACAAGAUCAAAAUUACAUUAAUUUUUUACUGUACAUUAACAAUAAUUAGUUAGGUUUGUCUGAUUUUUACCUUGACAGGUAUCCAUUGAACAUUGGCCUUUGUAUCAGAAUUUAAACUCUGAUGUAUUCGAAUCCCCCUACAAUUAAGAGACAUAGCUAACGUUAGCAAAUAAUUAGCAUAAGACAUAAAAAUAAAAUAGCAUGAUCAAAGAUACAAAUAACAAACUUAACUGAUUGACAAUCUGCAUUAGCUCAUCAUCAGGACUACUUACCAAAGGAUCAAGGUAAUAGGUUGUACGUCUCACCAUAUCAAUUGCCAAUAACACCCAGUGGGCACUAAACAAAGUAAAUAUUGUUCUCACACAUGAAUUACAAGUAAAAGUUUUUAACUUCGUGAUUAAUCUACAAAUUAAAGAAUAUAACUAGCAAAUGAAAAAGGUUAUACCCAGGGUUAUACGGGAAUACAAUAACUUGUCCCAAUUCUGCCAAGCCUAACAGUUUUGAAAUGUAUUGAGUCCUGUCUUUAAAGCUGACCCUUGGAUAUAGCUUCUCAAAAAGCCCAAACUGAACUGGUUUAGUACUUCCAUUGCUCUCCAUCUCCUCAUACAGGUGUCUAAGAGGAAACAAAUAUAUAUAACGAAGUAAGUUUGAAUAUAGGAAACAAAAUAAUAGGGCCAAGUUUACUAAAACAUAAGUUAUGAUUUACUGUACUUGAUCCAUAUGUUAAUGAUGCAGUUUGAGACCUCUUUAAACUUGAUGAUUUCAGCAUAAAUCAUUUUGUCCAAGUGUGUUUCCCAAAUUUCACCAAAGGUUGCUGUGUCAUGCCGAAUUCUGAUCAACUGAGGUAAAGAAUUCUCGAUGAACAUGGUAAACAUGUUCAUAUAUUCACUCCUGUCAUUCUUUCUUGAUCGUGCUGCUGCCCGUGUAUUCUUCACGCGUACAUUGAGGUCUUUUACUGCUAGUCUGAUGACUCGGGGUUCUUUUUUGGCUACUUCUGCUGGUCUGAUGACCAGUGGUUCUUUUUUGGGUACUUUUGCUGGUCUGAUGACUGGUGGUUCUUUGUUGGGUACUUUGUCAUGACAGGAGAACUGCCUAUCUAGUACUUUAGGAGUUAGUCUAGGAGAUCUUCUCGGUGUGGGCUUUGAAGUAAUUUCACACUCUACUUUUUUGAGGGUUUGUUGAGGAGUUGCUUGGGAAAUUGUGGUGGGAUUGUCCUUGAUUUUACUCUUCACAGAUUUUGGAGUCGACUUACCCGAUGGGAAAUCAGCCUAUGCAAUAAUCAAAAUACAUACCAUUAGUAGCAAUACAUGCAUAUACAAAUGGAAAUAAAAUAAUGACAUGUAACAGGCCAUAUACCUUUCUUUUUCCAAGAGUUUCGGGGGAUUGUUGAUCAUUGUCAAUCUGAACACCAGUGGAAGUUUUGGGCUUAGGAAAGUUAGAACUUCCAACUUCAGUAUUGCUGUACGCAUUUAACCUUGCAUUCAUGCGUUCUAAUUGAGCAGACAUGAAUUGGAAACUCUCUUGAUACAUCUUUCUUUCUCUUGCUAACUCAGUGGCAUCAGGGACAUGAAAGUACAUAGAUGGGGUGACGAAUUGCCCCACUCCUUGCACCCUGCUUCCAUUUGGCUGCUUCUGAAGAGCUUCACCUAGAAUGUCAUGUGACCCUUGUGAUUGGAAUGUUCCUUGUUCAACCUUACUUUUCAGCUCAUUCUACAAAAAAAAAAAAUUGUAAAUCCGCAAUUACGAGUACAAGACAUUAGCUAAACUAAACUAAUAUCCUUCUUGAAUCUUUAACAAAGAGCAAACCCAUAUACAGUUCAAAUUGAAACUACAGAAAAUAUUACAAGACAACACCUCACACAAGUUUUAACUUUUUUAUAUGCGAAGAAAUAAGUUCUAAUGAAAUCUUACCGAGUUUCUGUCAAUUGUAAAUGUUGCCAUACAAUUAUUACAAAAAGCAGUAUAUAUGUACGUAAAUAUCUACCCCCACACACACAUAUUAUAAAGAAAAUUCAUAAGAAUUAAGUAUACAAGUGACUUACUAUUUUCUCAGCAAUUGGCAUCACAUCAGAAGCAUAUUUGCCAUCUCGGUUUGCUCGUGCCAUUAACCAAGCUUCACUGCGAUCAAUCUCCCGCUCAGAAACUCCACUCUCAUUUUUCUGUUACAAGGUGACAUAAAACAUAAAUAAUUGAUUCUAUUAUAUUAUACGUACUAGAUUACUUAUGUUACUGUAAUUACUCCAUAUUACCACACUUACUUUUCUAUACAACAUGCCACCAUAUCCUGUGCUAACCAAGCGAUAGUUUUAGACAUUCUUUGCUCUUUUGUCUUUUGCCUUCUUACUUUUUUCCUGCACAAAUAGUUUAUAUGAAGAACAAAAAGUUACCACUGAUUAUUAGUAACUACCAACAAUUAAAUCAGGUAAUAUUAACAAACAACACACCUGAAAUUGUUCAGACAAAACUUUGUCAACAAAAAGUUUCCAAUCUUCUUUUUUAAUGCUUGGAUAUUCAAUAGGACGCAACCUUAGUGACUUUCGAUCGUCCUUGUUAGGUAGAACGAAUUCCCCUGAUCUUCAAAGACUCAAGAUCUUUUCUAGCAUUAAUCCCAUCUUUUGUUUUGCCUGGUUGAUGAAGUAAUGUGCCAUAUAUGUUCUCGCACACAUUGUUUUCAAUGUGCAUCACAUCUAAUUGAUGGCGAACUAAUAAAUGCUUCCAAUAAUCUAACUAAAAAAAGAUUGACUUUUUUUUGUACAAUUUUUCAGUUAUGUUCUCAUCACCAUCACCGCCACCACCGCCAUCAUGUUUUCGCUUUUUGGCCUUCUUUUUCCCGAACUUAAUAUCUAUAUCUUCCACCAUAUUAAAGAUUUCCUCACCAAACAAAGUUUUAGGAGGCUCAUUCCACUCUUGCUUCCCAUUAAAAACCUUUUUCAGUUUCCGAAAUAGGUGACCGAGUGGUAGAAAGUGGCGAUGGCCCAUUUAUGACAUUUUCCUACUAUGUGGCAGCCAACAUGCACAAGUGUCUAUCCCACAAAUUGGGCAAGCAUAAUAGCCCUUAACAGUACAACCAGAGAGGUUUUCGUAUGCUGGAAAGUCACUGAUUGUCCACAUCAAGACAACCCAUAAAUUAAAGGUUUCUUUUCUAUAAGAAUCAUAAACAUCAAUACCUACAUCCCAUAGAGUUUUUAAGUCCUCAAUCAAAGGUGCUAGGUAUACAUCUGAUCAUUUCCAGGUUGUUUAGGGCCAGAUAUCAAAAGUGACAACAUCAAAAACUUCCUCUUCAUACACAACCAUGGAGGAAGAUUAUAUGUUAUUAAUAUAACAGGCCAACAACUAUAAGUAGUGCUAAGUGUACUAUGUGGGUUAGCCCUAUCAGUUGAGAGAGCUAAACGGAGAUUUCUAGGUUCUUGUGCAAAUUUUGGCCACUUAUUGUCAAUUAGUUGCCAGGCUGGUGAGUCUGCUGGGUGGCGAAGUUUGCCAUCUCUCAUUCUUUUAUUAGCAUGCCAUGUUAAAUUUUGAGCUGUUUGUGGUGAUUGAAACAAUCAUUUCAACCUAGGAAUAGGUGGAAAAUACCAUAAUACCUUUUUAGGAACCCCUUUCCUAAAUUUUGUUGAGCUAUCUUUUUUUAUUUGAUACCUAGAUGCUCCACAAUUUGGGCAUUCAGCAAGAUCAGCAAAUUCAUUCUUAUACAAAAUGCAGUCAUUUAGACAUGCAUGUAUUUUUUCAUACUCUAAGCCUAGCACUUUCAUUGUUUUCUUAACCUCGUACAUUGACAUAUGUAGAGUAUUAUUUUUUGGCAAAAUAUCAGCAAAGACUUCUAACAAAGCAGAAAACCUUUUAUCGGACCACCCAUAGUUCCCUUUGACAUUGUAAAGUCUCAUUAAACUAGAUAACUUUGAAUGUUUUGCACCCGGGUACAAAGGCUUUUCAGCAUCUUCAAGCAUUUCCUUAAAAGAACUAGGAUCUCUAUCACAAUGCUCAUAAGCAUCUUCGACCAUGUCAAUUAUAUUACUGUAAUCAUGACAUCUAAAUCUUUGACUAUGUGAAUGGUCUUCACAGUUUGUAAAUGUAGAUUUAGAGUCAGUCUCACCAUGCCAAGUCCAAACAAUAUAUCUUGGGAGAAAACCUUUUUCAAAUAAAUGAUCCUUCACCUGUUGAGGAGUAUGAAACUCCAUAUUACAACAAAAGGUGCAAGGACAUCUAAUUGACAUUCGAUUUUCAGCAUUCAAAAUGGCAAAAUCUAAGAAAUCAGCAACUCCAGAACGAUACUCUACAGACAAUCUAUCACAAGUUAUCCAACUUCUCUCCAUUUCAAAUAUUUUACUUGUUCACAUAUGUAAUGUCAGUUUAAGUUUAAUUAAAUUGCAUGAUUAAUUUAAAGUUCAAUGUUAUUAUGAUUAUAGUUGUAAUAAUAAACUUAUAAUUCUGGAAAAUCAUUAAUAGCCUCUAUAAAUCAUUAAUUAUAAUAAUAAUUUAGACAAAAUCCUGAAAUUGAAACAAAAGAAGUUUUGAAACUUAAAUAGGAGAUUAAUAGGUAAGAUGGGUGCUAAUGGCUUUUUAAGUAGUCGAACUAAUUCAUAAGUCAAGUAACUAACAAAAGUUAAGAGUUCAAAUAAAUAAUGUCUUCAUACCACUUUGCAAGCCAUUUUUUAAGAUUCUAUAAAUCAUUUUUUAACUUCAAAUACAACAUGCAGAACUACUUUAAAACAAACAUUUCUUUAUUGAAUCAAACACAAAUCAUCAACUUUAUAUAAUCUCAAAAUACUCACAACCACGAACUUAAUUAAUUCAUAUCAUAGUCAUUGUCUCUAUUACAAAUCGUCCAACCAAAACAGAAUAAAUAAACAAGUAGGAUUAUAUAACAAAAUUUACCUCUCUUUACAUGAAACAGAGAUGUAAAUAGUUUGUAACCACUAAAUACACAGUCAUUCAGCCAAUAUAACACCCAAACAAUCAUCUCCUAAUCACAAAGGCAAAAGCUAAAAUGAAAUUUCAUAUUUUAGUACAUUCAAAAUCAACUAACUUAUUGCUCAAAGUUAAGAAACGGAGCUAAUAGUUUAUUUCAGAAACUAAAAAAAAUGCACAUUCUUAGUUUUAAAUAACAAUGACAGUAAAUCACAUGCACAAAAGUUUGAAACUGACCUCAAAUGUGGCAGAAAAAACAGAGUCGCAGUAGCAAGUGUUUUGAGUUUAAGUAAUGCACCACUUAAAAUGCCUGUAUUUUUGGACUGCAUGUGAGUGAAGAUAUAGAAAAAUAAGAACAAAAAUUUCAAGUUACAAAUAAAUAAAAGAAAAAAAAAGAUUUGGAAAACAAAACCCACCAGGGUUGCACUACUGGUCAAUUUCUGAAUAUUUGAAACAACCCCAAAAUAAAAAUUCAAAAAUAUUAUUCAUAAGCCAAAUUAAAACAAACCCAAUAAUUAAAUUGCCUAAAAAAAUAAAAUAUUCUGCCAUUACCAGCUGAUAACCUCCUCUACAGUUCUUUCUCUGGACUUAACUUGUCAGGGAGAAUGAGAUUACCUGAAUACCGAACCGAUGGUGCCACUUCACCCCUUAUCGAUGGCUUUUACUUGCUUGCCUAGUAUAGGCACUGAAUGAUUUAGUUGGAGAAAAACCCCUUCAAUAACAAGUGAUUAGGGUUUUGGUUUGUGUUUCAAUUUGGGGGAAAUGGAAAAACGAAAUAGAGUUUUAGCUUUUCAUUAUCUAUCUAAAUUAAUUGAAUUUAAUUUGUAAAUGGAUAGUGCAAAACAGAAGAGAUCGAGAAGAGAAAAAUGAAAGCGAAAGUGAACGAUGAAAGCAAGAUAGAGACAGUCGAUAUAGUCUAGAUGGGGAAAAGUCAAGUGUGUUUUAUGUUGUUGUUAUUUAUAUUUUCAUUUUUUAAUAAUUUAAAUAUUAUUAUGACUUUGACUCAUCGAGAUUUGAUGGUCUGUGCUCCAAACAUUAAAGCUUUAAAUCUUAGAGCUCUUAGGUUCGAGUUGGAGCUAAAACAAAAAUUUUAUGAAUUUUUUUUAUCAUUGAUACUUUAGUGUUAGUGAUUUUUGAUAUUUAGUUUACUGACACCCUAGCAUCCUUAAUCUCUGAUUCCUAUUUGUCAAAAGCGGAAAAUGGUGCAUAUGUACAUAAGUACUGACACUUUUUGCAAAGUGUCAGUAAAGCCCAUUUUUCUAGUAGUGUCAGCAAUACCACGCAAGUAUCGAAGAAUUCUCUUUGCAGCUAAAAGAUGAUCCUCUCUUGGACACUCCAUAUAUCUGCUAAUGGAACUAACUGCGUGCAUUAUAUCAGGUCGAGUUGUCGUUAAGUACAUCAAGCUUCCAACAAUCUGUUUGUAAAGGGUUGAUCACUUGACUCCUAUUGUCCUCUGCCCCAUUGGAAGUUCAGUCAACUCCCAAGUAUUAUUUUUUUCAAUGGAUGCAAUUUCUUCGUCCAUGGCUUUUAGCCAUUUUUGUUCUUUGACAGCUUCUUUAAAAGUUGUAGGUGUUGGAGAAUUAACAAAUAAAACACAGUAUUUUAUUUCUUCAACAACACUCCUCACCAAUUACAACUCUUAUUUUUCACUCUCUACACCUUAGAGAUUUUACUACUUCACUUUACGUUUAAACCAAAAGGGAGAGAGGGUAUUUAUACAUGAAACAAACUAAUCACAACCAUUCAUUUAUUCAACUAAUAAACAAAUCCUCACCAUCCAUUAAAACCUAUCACUCACCUACUUCACCAACCAUAGCUAACACACCUAACACAAAUAAUUCAAACCUCACCAACCAUACCUACUCAUGGAACCUUCCAUGAGUUGGGCUUGAUUUAUUCAUCUUGGAUCAAGUUUAUGAUCCAACACCUCCCCUUAAACUUGAUCCUGUGACACCAAGCAAACUUCUGAAUCUUACAAAGUCUUCUUGCUUGAGUGGCUUAGUGAAGAUAUCAGCUGCUUGAUCUUGUGAUUUUACAUACUUGAUUUGCACUUCUUUUCUUGCAAUACACUCUCUUGUGAAAUGAUAGCAAGUGUCUGUGUGUUUACUUCGAUCAUGAAAGACUGGAUUCUUGGAUAGGGCAAUUGCUGAUUUGUUAUCAACACAAAUCUCGGUUGGCUCUUCUUGUGCCAAACUCAACUCCUUCAGCAAAUUUCUGAGCCAAAUUGCAUGACAAACACUUGAUGUGGCAGCUACAUAUUCAGUUUUACAGGUGGAUAGCGUGACAAUUGGUUGCUUCUUUGACAUCUAUGUGAAAGCAUUAUCUCUUAUGAAGAACACAAAUCCAGUUGUGCUCUUUCGAUCAUCUACAUCUCCACCCCAAUCGCUAUCGCUAUAUCCAAUAAGCUUGUAGUCAUUAGAAAAUGAGUAUAACAAGACGAAAUUAAUUGUACCUUUGAUGUAGCGAAGGAUUCUUUUUGCAGCUUUAAAAUGGGUGGUCUUUAGAUUCUCCAUGUAUCGGCUCACAAGUCCAACAGCAUAAAGGAUAUCUAGUCUUGUGCAUGUCAAAUAACGUAGGCUUCCAACCAAACUUUUAAAGAAUGUUGGAUCUAUAUCUUCGCCUUCAUCAUAUUUGGAUAACUUGACACCGCAUUCCACUGGCGUGCUUAUAGGCUUGCAAUCAUUCAUCUUGAACCUUUUGAGAAUCUCCUUUGCAUAGCUUUCUUGGGAGAUAAAUAUGCCUUCUUCCUUUUGCUUGACUCUGAUGUCAGUCAUCUUGAACUCUUUGAUCAUCACUCUCUUGAACUCUUUAAUCAUCACUCUCUUGAACUCUUCAAUCAUCACUCUCUUGAACUCUUCAAACAAGCUUGAAUUACUUCUAGUAAAGAUGAGAUCAUCCACAUACAGGCACACAAUCAAAAUAUCUCUAUAUUUUUCUUUGACGUAGAGUUUCUCUUGAAAAUACUUGUCAAUUAUGCUAUUCCAUGCCCUUGGUGCUUGUUUAAUCCGUAAAGUGCUUUCUUCAAUCUCAAAACUUUAUCUUCAUGUCCUUUCACCACAUAGUCUAAUGGUUGUUCGAUGUAAACUUCUUCUUCAAUGAAUCCAUUCAAGAAAGCAGACUUCACAUCCAUUUGAAAAAUCUUCCAUUUAUUCUGAGUAGCCAAAGAAAUAAUAAGUCUAAUAGUUUCAAGUCGAGGUACAGGAGCAAAUACCUCGUCAUAGUCUAUGCUAGCCUUUUGCAACUAGCCUCGCAUUGUGCCUUUCAAUUUCUCCUUUUGCAUUUCUUUUUGUUUUAUACACCCAUUUGACACCGAUCGCCUUGUGACCUUUUGGAAGAAUAGUAAGCUCCCAAGUAUCAUUCUUCACAAUGGCUUUGAUUUCUUCAUCCAUUACAAUUCUCCACUUCUCAUCUAGUGCAGCUUCUUGGAAGUUGACUGGCUCACAAUCAGCAAAGAGGCAAAAGAGAGUGAGAUUAUCAUGUCUCUCAGUUACCUUAUAGAGAUCUUGAAGACUCAUUGUACGUUCUUCGGUUCUUUCAUUUAAGAAAGACGGCGGUGAAUCUCCACAUGUGAUUGAUACUGGUGAGAUAGGUGAAGUAGCAGGCUCUUGUUGUUCGUCUACUUGUUUUAUCUGUGUAUGAUCAUCUUCUUCAAUGGGAAAGAAGUUGAAGUCAUCCACACCAGAGCCAAAAUCCUAUUCUCCUUCUUCAUCAAAAACUACAUCUCGACUGAUCACGAUCUUCCCGUUGUUUGGAUUGUAAAGCUUGUAUCCUUUGGAGUUGUUGUCGUAGCCGAUGAAGAUGAACUUCUCACUUUUGUCAUCCACCUUGGCUCUACUUUCGUCUGGUACAUGUACAUGGGUAAUGCUUCCGAAAACUCUUAGAUGGGUGAUGCCGGGUUUUCUUCCACUCCAAGCUUCUUGUGGCGUCUUGCCCCACACGCUUUUUGUUGGAGAUCGAUUGGAUAAGUAGACUGCACAUGCAACAACUUCAGCCCAAAAUUCUUUAGGUAGUCUCUUACUCUUAAGCAUGCUUCUUGCCAUGUCGAGGAUGGUUAUGUUCUUCCUUUCUGCAACACUAUUUUGUUGGGGGGAUCUUGGAACUGUCAAAGGGCGUCGAAUUCCAUUUGCUUCACAAAACUCUAAAAAAUCUUUGGAAAUGAACUCUCCACCUCGAUCAGAUCUCAUGGCUUUAAUCUGGUAUCCACUUUCUUUUUCAAUUGCAGCUUUAAACUUCUUGAAAGCUUCAAAGACUUCUGAUUUUUGCUUUAAAAAAUGCACCCAAGUUUUUUCUUGAAAAAUCAUCUAUGAAGAGAAGGAAGUAGUUACUUUUACCAAAGGAGUUUUGCUUGAAUAGACCGCACACAUCAGUAUGAAUGAGCUCGAGUGGCUUCUGAGCUCUUGAGUUUGACUAUUUUGGAAAGCUCUUUCUAAAUUGCUUGCCAAGUAAACAUCCUUCACAAAGUUGAUCAAGGUGAUUGAUGUAUGGUAAGCCUUUCACCAUGUUCUUCUUAGAUAGUAGCUCCAGUCCUCCAAAGUUGAGAUGCCCAUAUCGAAGAUGCCAAGUCCAGGAUUGAUCUUUGUGACAGGCUUUGAGACAUUUUGCAACAUCAUUUUGAAUAUUUAAAGGAAACAUUCUAUUCUUUGACAUUCUCACCUUUGUAAUUAGAUUUCCUUUGUCAUCUCUUAGAAAAGACUAUAAUCUUUUAAGUGAAUAUCAUAGCCUUUUUCUAAAAGUUGACCUAAACUAAGAGUGUUGCUUUGUAUAUUGGGCACAUAGUAAACAUUCGAAAUUAUUUGGUGGCUACCAUCUUUUGCACGAAAAAGAAUGUUACCUCUACCAUUCAUUGGUACUUUUGAAUCAUCUCCAAAAGCGACACUGCCAUUCACAGAUUCACUUAGUUGUAUGAACAUGCUUCUGUUUCCACUCAUAUGAUUGCUAUCACCUAUGUUAAGAUACCAUGUAUUUUCUUGACCUCCACUUGUGUCAUUGCGUGCUAGUAAAAGUGUGCCAUCUUCACCAUUUUUCUCUUCAGCAUAGUUCACUCUCUCAUCAAUUCUGGUGCUUGGAGCUCUGCAUUCUGAAGCAUAAUGCCCAAACUUUUGACAAUUAUAGCACUGUACCUGGGAUUUGUCAUACCUCGAUCUUGGAUUGCCUCUGCCUCGUCCUCUGGUUGAGCUUUCUCCUUUGGCAUAAUUGGAGUUGUUGUUAAAAUUCCAACCUCAUCCAUGACCACGACCUCUACCUCGUCCUCGACCUCUACCUUGGACAUAGUGCCUUCUCUCAUUGUCGGAGCUUUCUUCUCUUUUCUUUGGAUUGACUUCCAUCUUGAGAAGUUGUUCUUCGAUUCCUUACUUCUUUUUUUAUUUUUCUUCAUAGGCUUGCAACCUUCCUUGAAGUUGCUCGAUCGUCAUAUCCUCUAGAUCUCUUGUUUCUUCAAUUGUCACAACAAUAUGGUUAAACUUCGAGUCUACUGAUCGAAGUAUCUUUUCAAUGAUCCUUACCUCUUUUAACUCCUCGCCAUUUCUUUUUAAUUCAUUGGAAAUGGUCACAACUCGAGUAAAGUAGUCAGAAAUUGACUCUGAUGCUUUCAUGUGUAAGGACUCAAAUUCUCCUCGUAAUGUCUGGAGACGAACCUUCUUAACUUGCUCCGCUCCUUUGUAAGAGGUCUCUAGUUUCUCCCAUGCUUCUUUUGAGGAGGUUGUACCAACAAUCUUUUCAAAAGCAUUUUCAUCUAAUGAUUGAAAGAUGAGAUACUUUGCUUUAUUCUCUUUCUUCUUCAAGUCUUUUAAAUUCUCCUUCUACGCCGCAGUUAAAGUGACUUUAUUUUCUGGCACAAUAAAGCCUUUCUCCACGACAUCCCAUCCGUCAUGUACGCUCAAUAGAGCCUUCAUUUUAAUACUCCAAUUGUUAAACUUCCCUUUAAUUGUGGAACUUGAAAUGACAUCAUACCACUGUUUGCCAUAACUCACAAAUUGAGUGAGAAUUUAGAGAUUCUGAAAGCACAGAUGGAUCCGGCAUGUUGAAAAACCUUGGGAAGGACUCGAGUCAAUUUUCGGUCAACGGUCAAAGCUGGUCAACGUCGGUCAACGGUCAACACUGGCUUGAUAGUCUUGGUUCGGUUCGGAUUGGUUCAGUUCGAGUUGGCUCGGUUCGACUUGAUUCAGUUCAGCUCGGCUCGGCUUGGUUCAGUUCGGCUCAGCUUGGUUCAACUCGGUGAGUCGACUCAACUUCAGGACAGAAAACUUCCGGCGGCAAGUGUGGGCGCGUCCGGUCUCGGAUCGGGAUGAUUUUUGCGGCGUCACGUUCCUCUUGUCGAGAUCUUCGAUUUGAUAUGCUAUAUGACCAUAUAUAGCAUCCAGUACUAGCUCUGAUACCACUUUGUUGGAGAAUUAACAAAUAAAACACACAAAAAACACAAUAUUUUAUUUCUUCAACAACACUACUCACCAAUUACAACUCUUAUUUUUCACUCUCUACACCUUAGAGAUUUUGCUACUUCACUUUACGUUUAAACCAAAGGGGAGAGAGGGUAUUUAUACAUGAAACAAACUAAUCACAACCAUUCAUUUAUUCAACUAAUAAACAAAUCCUCACCAUACAUUAAAACCUACCACUGACUUACUUCACCAACCACACCUAACACAAAUAAUUCAAACCUCACCAACCAUACCUACUCAUGGAACCUUCCAUGAGUUGGGCUUGAUUUAUUCAUCUUGGAUCAAGUUUUUGAUCCAACAGUAGGAUCACAUUCUGAAAACAAGGCAAAGUGUAUGAGUGGAUUCUCAAGAGUGUUAAAUCAUGUUACCUCAUAAUCUGACAUCCAUGCAGACCUUCUUCUAUCACGUUGAGAACGUAAAUCUGUAGCUUCAACUUGUUCAUCAAGUUCAUUUGUUGUUGGUGGAGUUUCUGCUGAGACUCUAUUUUGCGGCAGGUCAGGAGCAGAGACUGUUGAAGGCUGAAGUUGCUGAUUUUCUUCAAUUUCACCAUCGAAAUCUGCUGGAAUUUGCUACCCAACAGAACUGCAUCUCCACAUCCAUGUCUUCUCUUCAUAAAAAAUGACAUCACGACUAAUGACAAUUUUCUUGAUGAUGGGAUCAUAUAAUUUGUAGGCCUUUGAAUGAUCACUAACACCAAGAAAAAUGCACUUUACACCUUUGUCAUCUAAUUUUCUUCUUUUCUCAUCUGGUACGUGGACAUAUGCUAUACAUCCAAAUACCCGAAAAUGAUCUACUGCCGGCUUACAUCCACUCCAUGCUUCUUCAGGAGUUAUAUUUUGAACAACUAUUGUAGGGCUUCUGUUCAAAAUAUAAACACUCCAAACAACUGCUUCAGGCCAAAAACUUUUGGGAAGACCACUCCUCUGCAGAAGGCUUCGUACCAUAUUAAGAAUUGUACGAUUUUCCUUUCGCAUACACCAUUUUGCUGAGGUGUGUAGGCUGUUCUCAAUUGUCUUCUAAUUCCAUGAUUUUCACAAAAGCUUCUAAAUUCUUGAGAGUUGAACUCUCCACCACGAUCAGUAUGCAAUAUUUUAAUUUAGCUGUCAGCUUCUCUUUCAACUAGUACUUUAAACAUUUGAAAGGCUGUGAAAGCUUCUGAUUUUUCUUGCAAGAAAUAAACCCAAGUUUUUCGACUAAAAUCAUCAAUAAAUGAGAUAAAAUAUCGUUUACCUCCAUUUGAUGUUGGCUUGAUUGGCCCACAUAAGUCAGAAUGCACUAGCUCCAGCACUUUCUUUGCCCUUCGGGAUUUUCUUUUUGGAAAAUUAUCUCGAUGUUGCUUACUGACAAUACACUCUUCGCAAAGCUACGAAGGUUGCUCAAAUUGUAGAAGGCCUACCACCAUAUUUUUUGCUGCAGCGGAAGUUUAAUGUUCAAAAUAUUCCAUUGAUUCUAGAGAAUACCGGAAUAAAAGAACAACUAAAUUCACGUUGAUUCAAAAGAAUACCGCGAACUUAGGGGUUAAGACUCGUUGAUCCCACAGAAUACCGAGAAUUAGUUGUUCAAAUACUCACAAAGAGAUUUGAAAAUUGAAAUAUUAUUGAACUCAAAAUUCUCUGCUUGUAAAAGCUACAAAAGACACUUAUUUAUACUAAGUAAGACUUAUCCUAAUAUGAUUAGAAAACCUAUUUUAAUAAGACUUAUGCGUAAAUUAAGAAUAUUACCCAAAUAAGCAAUACCUAAACAAUAAGACUCUAAAUAGGAAACCAAAUUAAACUAGAAUACAAAUUAAUUAAAAUAUUCCUAAAUAUUAUACAUUUAAAUAUAAUUAGGAUUUCUUCAAUUUCUUGCUCUGCAUCAUUUUUCUACUGCAAGGUCUUCAAUCUACCACAACUAAGAUGCCCAUAACGAAAGUGCCAUAACCAUGCUGUAUCUUUGAAAUUUGCAGCAAAACAUGAGUGUGCAGUAUGGUGAAGAUACAAAGGAAACAUUCUGUUUGCCGUCAUUUUCACUUGAGCAAUUAAGCCCAAUUUUUCAUCGUGGAUUCGGCAAACUCCUUCCUUGAUAGAGAUCUCAUACCCCUUUUCUUGUAACUGGCCAACACUGAGAAUGUUAGUUUUCAGUUCAGGAACGAAUAAAACAUUUGAGAUAGAAUGAGAACUUUCCUUGGUUUGGAUUGCAACCCUUCCUUUCCCCAUGACAGAAACUGUGGAGUCAUCACCAAAUUUUACAGUAUUUCGAAAAGUAUCAUCCAAGUCAAAAAAAGCAAAUUUAUCCCCACACAUAUGAUUGCUGCAACCGGUGUCUAAGUACCAUAGAUUUUGGUGACUUUCCUCCUUUCUAUGACAUGCCAUAAGAAGGGAAAUUUCUUCUUCCUCCUUUUCUGCAAAGUUAGAUUUCUCGCCACGAUUCUUAUUUAAAUUAGUACAGCACUCAGAGCGGUAAUGACCGUACUUCUGACAACGGAAGCAUUUAACAUUCGAUUUGGCUUUAGACUUUGGUUUAUGUCCUGUCGAAUUCUGACCAUCAUAAUCCUUUCCUUUUCCUUGAGAAUCAUCAACAUUUUCUUCUGAUUUGUUCUGCCCAUUCUUGCCUUUCCAGCCUCUUUUACCCCCUUCAGUUGGUUUGAGAUUUGUUGCUGCCUGUAAUGCAUGUUCUUCCUUAUCCUGUCGGAUUACUUUCUGCUCAUGGACUAGCAAAGUGCUUUCCAAUUCAUCAAUCGAAAGUGUGUCAAUAUCCCUUGAUUCCUCAAUCGCACAAACAAUAUAGUUAAAUUUUGCCAUUAAAGAUCGAAGAAUCUUCUCAAUUAUGAUAACAUCCUCGAGCUGUUCGCCAUGAAUUCAUCUCUUAUUUGCGAUUGCCAUUGUCCUUGCAAAGUAUGCUGAGACCGACUCUCCCAUCUUCAUUCGUAAAGAUUCAAAUUCAGCUCGAAGUGUCUGGAGGUGUACCCGCUUCGCCCUUGCUGUCCCUUGGUACUUCUUUUUCAAGGAAUCCCAAAUUUGUUUAGAGGAGUCUUUGUUAAGAAUUGUUUCCAAGAUUGAUCGAUCAAUAGCUUGGAAUAAGUAAUUCUUUGCCUUGAGAUCCUUUAAUCGUUGCCCUUCAAGCUCUAUUUACUAAGCAUCCGUCAAAACAACACCGGCUGGUGGUUCAGUUAUUCUAAUUGAAACAACCUGCCAAUAUUCCUUGGACCUUAAGAAAUUCCCCAUCAACAUGCUCCAAUGGUCAUAGUGACCAUCAAAGUGGGGAAUUACAGGUUGAACAAAAUUCUCAGAAGCCAUGAAUUUCUGCUGCUGCAACACGAGUGCAAAAAGAGCCAAGUAAGCUGCUGUUACUAACUCUGUCAAUCCACUUUUCUAAUUCAAGCUCUGAUACCACUGUUACAAGUGAAUAUGAAAUAGUUCACUCAAAGCAAGGAUAAAUGGAUGAAAGUACUACACAUUUUAUUCACAAUGAGGUUGCCUUUUAUAGGCGUUACAUGAACAAACUUAACGAAAUAAUAGCAGCCAUUAUUCAGCAAAUACUGCAGCUACUUUCCAGUAACUAUAGCCUAAAGACUAGGUAAACACAAUCUUGCAAAUAACAUUACCAACAAACUUCCUAAAGACUAGGACCAUAAAAGCAACUUAUUGCCACAAGGAAAUUCCAACAAUAAUAUUAUAAAAUGUAAAAGUUUUAAUGGGGUGUACCCCAUCACUAUCUCAGGAAUGGUGAUUUUGAUCCCUUACUAUAUCUCACAAGCGCCCCAUUUUUCAGUUAAUUCCAUUAAAAAUUUUAAACAAAUCUUUGUCUCUCAAUAUACCUUACCUAAUCUCUAAUUUACCUUUAUUUUAAUUUUUUUUCAUACACCCAUUGUAUAAAUUUUAUAAAAUCAUUUCUUUAAAAAAAAAAUCUCAUAAUGAUUGUAAUUUCUCAACUUUGUUUUAAGGUUUUAUCCACCACUUAAGAUUUGAUAGUUCCACCAAGAAUUGGAGGAAAGAACCAUGCCGAGUCGGCCCUGAAUAACCUUAGUAUCGUGCUAAGCCUAUCAAGCCAAAGUUGAGUGAAGGAAUACAAGAAUUUGGCCAAGGGGUUUGACGUGAUAAAGAUACAGAUUUUUUAUUAUUAUAAUUGAUUUGGAGCUAAAAAGGGGAUUCUUGAUUUCCUUUUCUAUGCAUCCCAAUCUUGUAUUCAAGUUUAUCUGUUCAUGGACCAGAAUGCAUUGCAUUUGGAAAGUGUUUGCAAUUGUACAGUGAUAUUACUUGGACAGUAAUUUGGCGUUGCAAUGCAUUUACAGAACGAAUGAAAAUUUGGAAUCGCGAUGGAAAAUGCUGUCAGGUAUCUAUCUGAGAAUGAAAGCACUCGCUUUCAGUCUCUAUGGGAUUGCAGUAUAAAAUUUUACAUUGUUCUUCAAUAUUUUGAAUAGAAUACCUUACUUUGAAUGGAAUGGCUCAGUUUAAAAAGUUAGAAGAAAUUAGAGUUUAAGAAAUUAGAUUCACUUAAUUAGUUAUUAAUAGAAAUUUUUAUGUCGGUGCACUUAAAAAUUAUUUAUUAUUUUAAGUUAUUUCACAUGAGGAUAAAAUAGGUAUUAACAUAAAAGUUAUUAGUAUGGGUAGAUAACAUAUAAUGAGAGAUUUAAACAUCACCACUCUACUCAUAGAGCAGCUUCAAAAACGAUCUCAUUGGUCCAAAAAGGCCUGACCCAUUGAACGAUGACCCUUAAAAUUUUAUCCUAGCUUGAUCCAUACGACAGGCUGAACAGGUCGGUCCUUUACACAAUCAAAACAAACUUGUGAGUAGGGGUGGGCAAAUAACCCAAUCUGAUUCGACCAAAAAACUUGAGUUCAGAUUGGAUGUAGAUGAAUUUCUCAAUCCAAUCAGGUAGGAAUCUAUCCAAAUCGAUCCAAAUUACACACAAUUAAAGAAUAUUAUUUGAAUUUUUUUAUCCAUUCCAAAUAUAAUUCGGAUUCAAUUAUAAGUCUGGAUUGAGUUUGGAUUACUUUUUUCCUAACUCGAUUAACCGGAACUUGAACCCAAUCCGAAACGGAAUUUGCCGACCCCUACUUCUUAUCAUUUAUACAUUACAUUUGUGACUAUCAUUUUUAAACUAAAAUUUUCUCUUGAUGCGAAUAAGAAAAAAAAACAUAGAGUAAAUUUCGUUAAAAAAAAUGAGGCACCAUAGAUGGACCGUACAUAUGGUACAACUAGCUGAAAUGUAAGUAGCCUUGUGAGAGCUGCCUACUUUGGAUUCAGGACGAAAUAUUUAAGAAGCAAGCAAGUAAAUAGAUCAGGAAAAUAAUAUUCGGCCACCCUCAUUCCAGAGGGAAGCCAAAAACGACAUGCUUCUGUGCCGUUUUGAGGUUUUAGAUUUGAAAAUUAAAAAUAAAUUUUACCAUUAAAAAAUAAUAAAAGCUAAUCAAAAGAAAUUAAAAAAUCUAAAUUCUUAUCCCUCCCCUUGCUCACCCCCUCUCUCUUUGACUCACCCGCUCUGUCCCUCUCACUCUCACCCACGAAGCUCGUUCCCCUCUCACUCACCCACAAGCUCGCUGUCAAUAUUUUUUUCGGAUCUCAACUAACGCAUCAUCAAAACCGCAACCAUGACGCUAGGCUGAGGAGGAUCCAGUGUCGUGGGUCAGUUUCUUCUCUAAUCUUGCCCUUUUUUGUUCAAUCUAUUUAUGCCCUGGAUUGAUUUAUUCUCUUUGUUUUAUUGUGUUUCUUGUUCUAGCAAAAUCUAUUUGUCUAAUUCACAUACGGGUCGCAGUCGUUGCUUUUAUUAUUUUAUAAUUUUUUUUAGGUGGUUUUGUGUAGUCUUAUGAACAUUCUUUUUGGCAAAAAUGCAUCUGGGUUGCUACGCGCCUACGUUUGAUUGUUAAUUAGACCUGAUUCGUAAUUCUAUGCGUUUUUUGAAUUUUUGAUCGCGAAAUUAAGUUAAUUUAGUUUAAUAUUAUUAGAUUAUUGUCACCUAAAAUUAGUAUAUUUAAUCAGUUAAAGAAAUUCUUUUGACACGGACUUUAUGAAACCUUGUAUGUGAUACUUUGCUUAGCAAAGUAUUUGGAUUUUGGAUUUUUUUUUCUAUUUAUAUUUUAAAAUUACUAGAAAUAAGUUAUUUGAAGUGUGAUACUUUGUGAAAUGUUGAAGCUUACGGUUUGGUUGUAAUUCUGUUUUUGCUUAUAUAUGUUUACGUCUGUUGGCAUUCUUUUUUUUUUUUUUUUUGGUAUUUGAAGUUUGCAUAUAUGGUGUGUAUUAAGAUUUUCAAGUUGUUCUUGAAACAUAUUCUGGGUAGUUUGAUAUAUCACAUGUUUCUAUGAAUUCUUUAGUUGAGGCAAUUGUUUUUGGUCUUAUCUGCAUUAUUAAGUUCUUUACCACAUAGAAUUCCCUAAUUUUCUUCUGCUAAUCCAGUAAUUGCAGCUUCAUUCUAAGGUUCUUCAUUUUCUAUAAAGCAUAUAUUGCUUCAUUGACACCCCUCUAAAUAACUCUUAAAAUCUCUUUAAUUAUUUUAUAAUUUUAAUUUUUAUUAAAAUUAUAUAAUAGGAUAAUUUUUAAUUAAACUUCCACUCAAAAGUUAAAUAAUUUUUUUAUUUUAGAAAUUAAAAAUGUUGUUUUUUCUCUAAUUUUUGGGUGAAGAAGUUACCACCAAUGCCUACAAUAGAGAGAAUGAAAACUCAUUGUUUCUUUCUUUUAAAUAGAAGAGACUCAAUUGUUGAAAUGAGAUUUAAUAAUAAAAAGUAUAGAAUUGAAUUUACACAAUAACUUUUAUGUAAGGGUAUUUUUAUCAUUGAUGAAGGUGUUAAAAGAAUUUUAUAAUUUUUUAAAAUAUUUUAAUAAGAUUAAUUAUGAAAAAGAGUGUUAAGAAAUAUUUAGAGGGGUACCAAUAGUCCCACUCUAUUUAUUGACCAAUUUAAUAAUUAUUAUCUUUUCAAGGAUUUAAAAAUCUAUAGGUGUAACGGACAGCUAAUGUAAUGUAAGCGUUAUAUAUAUGAGUUGAUGAAAGGGUCACGGGUGAAAUCAAAAUAAAAAAAAUAACAGAAGUCAAUAAUGGCAUUCAAAAUUAAAAAAUAAUAGAAGUCAAUAAUGAAGAAUUUGGGUUAAAUCAUAUAUAUAUGUUAAAUCAAACAGCCACUGGUGUGCGGUUACUUUAUACAAUUUGGGUUCUUGCCUUUCUGCCGUCAUGGGGAAUUAAUGCCACUGGUCAACGGUGAAUCAAUGGCCAUCGGGCACCAAAUUCAUGACCAAUCAAUGGCCAACAAGCACCAAAUUAAUGCCAAGCACACCAACAACCACCGAUUAAAUGGCAAGUUUAGUGUUUUAAAGUUUAGAAUAUGGAGACGCACUUGCUACUGUAUCGAGGUAUUAAAUCAUCAAAAACCAAUUUGGUUUGGAGUCUUCAAUUCCAAUUUGACUCCUACACCAACGCUAGCCAACAACAACUCAACAACCGAAUCACUCGUCCUAAUAGCAUAAUAAUCCAGUCGUCGCUUGCCUGCACGUGAGAGACCAUUUUCUUGUUCGUGCUCGGAAUUGUUGAAUUAAUUUUACAAUGCUCUUGUACCAAUUUUCAUCAUAUAUGCUGCCUCAAGAAGUGAAGAUCGAUGUCGGAAUCACUUUUAGUUUCAAUUACAUGAUGUUUGGGAUCGUCUUAUAAUAUACCAAUUUCAGUCUACAGUUGCCUCAAGUAUCCAUGUCUGUCAAAUCUCAUUUGUAUUAAAGCAACCGCCUAAACCGUUAACCUGUUUGAUUUAAUAUAUAUAUAUAUAUUUGCAGCUGUUAGAUUGAACAAUAAACCAUCCAACGGCUCUGCUAAAUAGAGACAAAAAAGUGCAGUAUGGUGCAACUGUUGUAACAUAGGUGGAGCCUAUUUUUAAUAUUAUAUUAAUGAUUAUUAAAUUUUAUACAAUCAAUAAUGCAAUAAGUUAUUAAAUGAUUAAUUUAUACGUUAUUAAAUGAUUAAUUAUAAAUGAUUAAAUAUACAAGUAAUGAAAAUUUAAUCUCAAGAGUUAUUAGAAGUAAAACUGCCAAUUUAAUUAGAUCAUAGAUAAGAAAUAAAAAAUCUUAAGUAAAUCAUAAAUAAAAAUUAAUUAAUUAAUUAAUAUUAACAGAUAAUUUUUCUUUAAUCUUAUCCUAACUAAACGCAUGUGUAAAUUACAAUUACUAAUCCGAUGAUUUGAAAAUUAAAUUCAAAUUUAGUCUCCUUUAAUCCAAUUCAAGUAAAUUUAUCAAAAAUAAAAUAAAUAUUUAAUCUUAAUAUUAAUCCAAUUGGAUAUUUAAUCCUGACAUCCAAACAAGGCCUUAUUUGCCUUAAAAGGCAAUUUACAAAGAGGUGUAACCGAAAACGUUUAUAAAGCCAUAUUUUUUUUGGGUUCCUAUAUAUAUAUAUAAUCUUUCUGCCAAUGAAGCGCCCGCCAUACAUAUAAAUCUUAAGUAAAUCAUAAAUAAAAAUUAAUUGAUUAAUUAAUAUUAACAGAUAAUUUUUCUUUAAUUUUAUCCAUCUAAACAAAUAUGUAAAUUAGGAUUACUAAUCCGAUGAUUUUAGGAUUAAAUUCAAAUUUAGUCUCCUUUAACUCCAUUCACAUAAAUUUAUUAAAUAUAAAAUAAAUAUUUAAUUUUAGAAUUAGUGCAAUUCGAUACGUAAUCCUACAUCCAAGCAUGGUCUCAGUUGUCAUAAAGGCAACUUAGAAAGAGUUGUAACCGAAAACAUAUAUAAAGCCUUUUUUUUCUUUUAAUUUUCAGGUUCAUAUAUAUAGAUAUAAUCUCUCUGCCAAUGAAGCGCCUGCCAAUCAGAGAAGUUAAUUUUUUAAUAUAUUUUUCGACGCCGGCCCCGCCCCUGAUCUUAUAGCUUUGACUCCAGAUGAGUGAGGCUUUUCAUUCAUGUUAUUCUUUGAAAGAUCGUGAUUCUAGAGGCUGCUGACAAAAGAAGAUUCCGGAGGCUGCUGAUAAGAUAAAUACAAUAUUUAUUCGAAUGGGGCUAUUGACACCACUCUAAAUACUUCUUAAAAUUCUUUUAAUUAUUUAGAAUUACAUAAUAGGAUAAUUUAUACAUAAUAGAAUAAUUUGUAAUUAAACCCCCACUCAAAAGUCAAAUAAUUUUUUCAUUUUAAAAAUUAAAAAUGUUGUUUUUUUUCUAUUUUUUGGGUGAAGAAUUCACUACCAAAGGCUACAAUUGAGAGAAUGAAACCUCAUUAUUUCUUUCUUUUAAAUAGAAGAAACUCAAUUGCUGAAAUGAGAUUUAAUAAUAAAAAUAGAGAAUUGAAUUUACACAAUAAAUUUUACGUAAGGGUAUUUUUAUUAUUGAUGGAGGUGUUAAAAGAAUUUUAUAAUUUUUUAAAAUAUUUUAAUGGGAUUAAUUACGAAAAGGGGUGUUAAGAGAUAUUUAUUGACCAUUUUAAUAAUUAUUAUCUUUUCAAGGAUUUAAAAAUCUAUAGGUGUAACGGACAGCUAAUGUAAUGUAAGCGUUAUCUAAUAUAUGAGUUGAUGAACCAUCACUGGUGAAAUCAAAAUAAAUAAAUAAAAUAACAGAAGUCAAUAAUGGCAUUCAAAAUAAAAAAAUAAUAGAAGUCAAUAAUGGCAUUCAAAAUAAAAAAAUUAAAACAAAAAGCAAAUAAAGCCAUUGGAUUCUUUUUUUUUAAUUGUUUCUGAAUAUUAAUACGUUAAAAUAAAAGAACUUGUUAAUAUUUAUCAUAAAAAUAUUGUUGAUACAAUCCUACGUCAAUUUUGUUAUAUUAUAGUACAAUUCGAAAGUUUUAUUUUAUUUUAAAAUAUAUUUAUCCUACCAUAUUUAUAAAAGAAAUUAUAAAAUAAUUAAAUUAAGAUAAAAUCUUACCUCCAAUCAUAGUUGUUCAAGAUUCAAGCGUUCUCUAGAGUCACUAAAUUUUAUAAAAAAAGUACUUCUUCCUUAUUCUACUUUAUAACCUUUCUCUUGUGAUGGAAAAUAAGUUCUUAGGAAGUAUAGAUUUGGAUAGAUUAGAGAUCCUUUUUAUAAUAGACUAGAGAACCUUUUUAUAAUAAUAUUUUAUAACUUACAAGACUUUCCACUUCCUUCCAUCAAAGAAGUGAAAUUUAUAACCUUUAUCACUUCUAUUAUGAAAAUGAUUAGUAAACUAUAAGGCUAUCCCUCGAAAUAAGUAAGUAGAUUAUUAAUAUGAGUUUAUCUAUUUAUUUAUUUAAAAAAAUCACUUAUCAUGUGAACUAUAUAAUAAAAAUUUGUGGAGAUAUAUCUACGCACAUUUAAUUAUAUAAUUGAGAUAAGAAAUUAGAGGUCCAAGAAGUUGUACUUAGAUUUGCAACCUCAAAGUUGAGGUUAUGGCAGGCAAAAGAAAAAGGAGAAGCAUGUGUUUUUGAGAAAGGAACCCAUAUAAGCAAUUGCAAAUUAAGCAAAAUCGGAAUUAAACAAAUUAAGCAUGUGUUUUUUUACUCUUUAUGUGAUAAAAUCGGAAUGUGUACCAUAAAUAAAUAAGCAGAAAAUAAACCAAUACAAUCUAAAAUAAUAAAUCAACCAUAAGAGACAUAUUUUUAGAUGGAAAACCUAAAUUGAGAAAAAAACCAUAGAACUAUAGUCUAUUAUAACCUUCAAUUAUAUUAAUAAUGGGAUUACAACACAGAUUCUUCUCUAGAUAACAUUAGAGGCUAGCAACAUCAAGAAUCUCAACAAUCUUGGCUUAUAGUAAUAAUUUAAUAUUUAUCUCUCUAACAAAUGAGUAAUCUCAAAUAACAGGCAAUGAGAGAAUUAAAUAAAAAUCAAGACCAGUAAAAAUGUAGAGGGCGAUGUCAGAAACUUACCCUCCAAAUUUGGGAGAAAACAUAGUUAAGUUUACCUUCUUAUCAUCCAAUCAAAGAUCAAGAUCCUUACCUCCAAAUUGGAAUAAUCGGCCAUUGUAUAUUUUGAAAGCCAAAUUUAAUGGUAAUUUUCAAUUAGUCAUAACCUGUUUUCUUUAAUUAUUUAAACACCCAAAAUAAUGGAAACUUUGAGUUGGGCCACCCAAAUGAAAUGGACCUAACAAAUCUUCCCCACCAGGUUAUGUGGAGGGCACCACCAAGCCCGUUCUCGGCUUACAUUCUUUCAACUUUUCCUUGGGCAACGACUUUGUCAUCAUAUCUGACCUAUUCCUCAUGAAUCUUCUCAAGUUGUAAUUAUUUCUUUUCAAGUAUGUCUUGUAUGCAAUGAUACCUAACAUUAAUAUGCUUGGAUUUUGAAUGCUAUGUUGAAUUCAUUUCCAAGUGAAAGGACUUUGACUAUCAUAGUACACAACAUAGCUAUCUUGUUUCACAUCUAGCUUUUGUAAAAAAUUCUUCACCACAAGGUUUCAAAGAAAACUUCAGUGAUUGCAAUAUUGAUGAAUAAAUAAAGAAAAGCAAACAAAUACUUCGCUUUCGGUGAAACUUUCAAAUAUCAGUCUUUAUGACUUUAAGCUACAUUUACCAUGUGGAAUUGAAUUGGACUAAUUAUUAGAAUAAGACUGGAUUAGAUUAUAUUGGAUUAAGCUAGUGUAUAUUAUAUUGUCUUAUGUUUGGUGUAGUACCAAAUUAAACUAUGUUAAAUUAUAUUUAAAUGAUAUUAAAUAGCAUUUAAGUUUAUAUUUGAAUAUGAACAUCAAUUAUUCAUGAAAUUUUAUAACAAUAAGUAAAUAAAUUUAAAAAGCAAUUAAUUAGAAAAUUAAGUAUAUUGUAAAUAAGUUAUUAGGUAGUCAUAAUAUAAUAAACAAAUAAAAAAGAAAUUAAAAAAUUCAAAUAUUUAAUUAAUUUUUAUCAAAUAAUUAAAAAAUUUUAUAAAAUCAAUUUAUUAUUAUUUUUUUAAUUUUUAUGAUUAUUUUUAAGGAUCCACCUAUGUUACAACAAUUACACCAUACCAUACCUUUUUAUCUCUAUUUAGUAGAGUCGUUGGAUGCUUUAUUGUUCAAUGUAACCGCUGCAUAUAUAUAUAUUAAAUCAAACAGGUGUGCGGUUACUUUAUACGUACAACUUGGGUUCUUGCCUUGCUGUCGUCAUGGAGAAUUAAUGCCACUGGUCAACGGUGAAUCAAUGGCCAUCGGAUACCAAAUUCAUGACCAAACAAUGGCCAACAAGCACCAAAUUAAUGCCAAGCACACCAACAACCACUGAUUAAAUGGCAAGUUUAGUGUUUUAAAGUUUAGAAUAUGGAGAAGCACUUGCUACUGUAUCCAGGUAUUAAAUGAUCAAAAAUCAAUUUGGUUUGGACUCUUCAAUUCCAAUUUGACUCCUACGCCAUCACCACCCAACAACAACUCAACAACCGAAUCACUCGUCCUAAUAGCAUAGCAAUCCAGUCGUCGGUUGCCCGCACGUGAGAGACUAUUUUCUUAUUCGUGCUCGGAAUUGUUGAAUUAAUUUUACAAUUCUCUUGUACCAAUUUUCAUCAUAUAUGCUGCCUCAAGAAGUGAAGAUCGAUGUCGGAAUCACUUUAAUUUAGUUUCAAUUACAUGAUGUUUGGGAUCUUCUUAUACCAAUUUCGGUCUACAAUUGCCUCAAGUAUCCUUGUCCGUCAAAUCUUAUUUGUAUUAAAGCAACCGCCUAAACCGUUAACCUGUUUGAAUUUAAAAAACAAAUAUUUGGAGCUGUUAGUUUGAACUCAUGUGUAAAUUAUGAUUACUAAUUCGAUAAUUUUAAAAUUAAAUUCAAAUUUAGUUUCCUUUAAUUCAAUUCAAGUAAAUUUAUUAAAUAUGAAAUAAAUAUUUAAUCUUAAAAUUAAUCCAAUUGGAUACUUAAUCCUGACAUCCAGACAAGGCCUUAUUUGCCUUAAAGGCAACUUAGAAAGAGGUGUCACCGAAAACGUUUAUAAAGCCAUUUUUUUUUUCGGGUUCAUAUAUAUAUAUAUAUAUAUAUAUAUAUAUUAUGAUACCAGUAGGAUUUAGGAUCGAAGGAUGGAAGUGAUAUAAAAUAAGAUUUGUAAAUUAAACUUCAAUUUGCAAUUUAAUAGAGAAUUAAACCAGUACGUGGCGUUGUUUCCAGAUCGAUGCAGAACUUAAUCUGCCUUUGUGACCAAAUCUGACUUAGAACAGAUCAAUAUCACACACGUUCUGUUUUCCAGCCGAUAUACCAAUUUAAAAUGUUGUAAUUAUAUGAUUUUAAAGCAGACCUAGCAACAAAAUCUAAAGGCUCAUAAAUAAUACUAGAUCUGGAUCCUAGAAAUAGUAUUCUGAUUGGUUGGAGGGAGAAGAGAAAUACGACGAAGGGGAGAGAUCCAGUCUCUAUGCCUCGGAAGAAUGUAGCAGUUUAUAUAAAUUUAAAUUGCAGAAAUUUAAACAUACAUUUGAAACUUUAAACUUUAAAUAGAUUAAAUGAGAGAUGCUUACAUAGAUUGCUUGGAUCCGAGAGCUUUACAAUGGAAAAUGUUUACAGAUUUUGUAGAAAAGGAAAAUUACAAUACAGGAAUAAUAUUCCUUGAUGUCUUGAUCCUGAUUUCCGAGAGAGAGAGAGAGAGAGAGAGUGCAAAAUGUUGUAAACAAAACUCUGUCCCCAAAUGUUACAUAGCUUUGAAUUUAAAACAACUGAAGCUUGAACUGUGGCGAGUCUGUAGCUUCAACUGUAGCGAAACUGUAGCUUUAUUCGACCACUGUAGCAAAACUGUAGCUUUACCAGAAAAAGUCAACAAGGGAGGUGUCGUGGAAGACAACAUGAUUGAGGGCAUCUUUUGCUUUAUUUGCUUUUGCUGUAGCUUCACAUGCGUGGCUGGUAAGAUGAGACUUUAGUGGAGACAGCAACAUGGAAAAGGGGCCUUGAAAAGGCAAAACUGGGUGAAGAGACAUGUGCGCUCUCACUUGUGUCUAGGGGACCACCCAGGAAAAAAUAUAAAUACAUUCUGAAAAUAAUUACAACAAAGUAAUUGUUACAAAGGGAAAUACAAUCAUAAAUAAAGGGAAAUAGGACAAUCUUUACUCUUUUUUUUUUUUGAAACAAAGCUUUAAUGCUUUAAUGGAGAGAAUAUUCCGAAGCAGUCAUCUUCAUUUUCAUCUCCGAGGGAAAUGAACGGUUCAGCUUCUCCUGAGGAGCUUGAUGAAGAGCUUGCAACGGAUGGCUCAGAUCUUGUGGCAAGAAGUUGCUGCAUCACUUUGAAAUAUUCAUCUUCGGUUUUGGCACUGGGCAAUAAGGAUUGGGCUUUGGCCCUCUGGGCGAGGAAAGUGCUUUGGGUUUUGACUAGGUCUUUACUUGGGGCAAGGAGGCCUCUUGUGGAAAGCCAGGAUUGGAUCGCGGCUUCUGACAAUUUUGACUGUUCGUCAAAUUUAGACUACCAUUUGACUUUGAAGGUUCUUUGUAAAACUAGUUGGGUGUCUAUGGUGUGGUAUUGGAAAUUCCACAUCCAAACCCAGGGAAGGAAGAAAUUUGUACAGAAGCAGAGAAAAGGAGGAAACCUCUUUUCAGACUCAGAGGGAAUAUAAUGGGCUUUAAAAAGAUUUAAACAUUUAAUGGUGUUCUAGGUUAGAAUGUCUGGGCUUGGCCCAAAGUAGUUCCACCAAAUUUGGAACCAAUUUGGAAGGCUUUGAACAAUUAUUUUCGAAUUAAAGAAAAAUAACCAGGAGUGAGAUCGUUUGGGGUUUUGAAUAAAAAAUGUGUUAAACCAGGCCUGUUGAUAGUCCCAGUAAGAGAAAGAUAAACAGUGGUUUAAACGAUUUUGAAAAUUGGCGGGAAAAGUCUUUGGUUUGUGGAGCUGGUCACCCCACUGAUUUGGGCUAAGGACUUUAAGGAUGGUAGCUGUGGAAUAGGCUGGCUCAGAAUGAGCUUCACUAAGGAAGAAAUGUUUAAAUUUUACUGACUCAGUGAACUCAAGUAUGCUUUGGUAGAAAGACUGGGGUUUGGAUAAAUCUCAUGGUUUAAAAAACCAGCCUUUCGGGAAAAUCUUUGAAAUAGCUUGAAAUGGAUCAGAAUGAUAAAACCCAUCCUCCAUUGAUAAAACAUUUUGUUGAUAGGCUUUAUUAAACCAAUCCGAUGAUUUUUGUGAAAGCUUUGAUUGAGAAACAAUAAUUUGUGAAGAAGAGCUUUCACAUGAAACGAUUUCUUUAGAGGAAGAAGGUUUUGAAAUUUCUUUGGAAACAAGUUUUUCUUUCUCAGGAACUUGAGAAAGGGCUUUAGUUUGAGAAAUAUUUUGUAAGGCGAGCAUAAGCUCUGGAGACUUUGUAAUGGAAUUCAUCUAUUCUUUUACCUGAUCUUCGGAGGUAAUGGCUUUAGACUGGGCUUCUUGUUCUUCAACCAUUUCAAUCCAAGAUUUGAUGGGCAUGGCCGAAGAAAGUAAUUUUUCUUUAGAAGGGGUUGAUUUGGGUUCUUUAGAGGUUACUUGUAACUCAGUGUCUUUAAGAACAGCUUUACCUUUGUCUUUUUUCUUGGGCGGCAUUAUCUGUUUUGAAGAAAUUCUCUGGUUAGAAAGUCAGGGAUAGAAUUUGUAUCACCUUUUAUAAACUCAAUAUCAAAAUCAAAGACGCUUAAAAUAGCUUGCCAUCUUGCAAAAAUAUGUUUUGAAGCAAUAUUUUGAACAUCUUUUUCCAAAACAUGUUUUGCAGCUUUGCAAUCAAUUCUAAGUAAAAACUUUUGAUUUAAUAAGUCACUUUGGAAUUUAGAAAUGCAUAAUAUGAUAGAAAGAAUUUCUUUUUUAAUAGUAGAGUAAUUUCUUUGGCAUUCAUUCCAAUGAGCAGAAAUAUAUUGUACUAUUUGUUCUUUAUUAUUCUCUUUUUGCUUUAAUAUUCCUCCAUAUCCUAAGUCUGAUGCAUCUGUUUCAACAAUUUUAGGUAAUGCAAGAUUUGCAAGGAAUAAACAUGGAAUAUUUUUAACAGAAUUCUUUAUUAGCUUAAUACCUUUAGUAUGCUCAUCAGUCCAUGCAACAAGGUUCUUCUUUAAUCUAUCAUGCAAAGGUUUCGACAUUCUGUUGAUAUUAGGACAAAAAUCAAGAACAUAAUUUAGACUACCUAAAAAUCUCUGCAAUUGUGUUUUGUCAAGGAUUUUAUCAGGAAAUUUAUCAGCAAAAGCAAGAGAUCUUUCAAUAGGCGUAAUGGUUCCCUUGGAAAUGUAAUGACCUAGGAACCUGAUCUUUGUUUGAAACAAAGAAACUUUAGAACUAGAAAUUGCCAGACCAGUCUUUCUAGUGGCAAGGUAGAAAGUCUUUAAAUGUUUGAAAUGUUGAUCAAUUGUUUGGGAGAAGAUCAACACAUCAUCUAUAUAAACUAUGCAGAAAUCAGAGAAAGGAUUAUAAAUAUCAUUCAUAAUUCUUUGGAAUUCUGAGGGUGCAUUCUUCAAUCUGAAUGGCAUAACAGUCCAUUCAUAUUGACCAAAGGGAACAAUGAAUGCAGUUUUAUAGUGGUCUUUAGGAUGGAUUUGAAUUUGCCAAAAUCCUGACUUAAUAUCAAAUUUGGAAAAAAUGAAUGCAGAAUGUAGUUUUUGAAGCAAAUCUUUUUUAUUAGGUAUGGGAUACCUAAUCCAUUUUAAUGCUUUAUUCAGAGGUUUAUAAUUUAUAACAAGUCUAGAUGUUCCCCUUUCUAUUUCAGAGUUUUUAUUAACAUAAAAAGCGGCACAGGACCAUGGGGACCUAGAUUUUACAAUGAGUCCUUUUGAUUCUAAGUCUUUUAUUUCUUCUUUACAAUGUUGUUCCAAUUCUAUAUUCAUUUGGAUUGGACGGGCUUUGAUAGGUAUUUGUUUUUCAUCAAAAGAGUUUUCAUAAGGCAAAUCUACUAAAUGUUGCUUUCUGUUCCAAAAAGCAGAGGGUAGAUUCGCACAUAUUUCAUUCUCAAUGAGGUCUUUGAAAUCAGAGAUUUUUCUUUUUACAAAUUCAUUUUGUAAUUGGUUUUCGAUUCUUUGUAAACUCAAAUCUUUUUUUAAACAAAUCAGGUCAUUUUGUUUUGACUUGAGGAGUACAUUGAUCUGGUUCUGAUAAACAGAACAGGCUUUAACAAUAUUCAAAUUUCUUGUUUUAGGUUUCUUAAUGAAUGGGAAAACAAGUUUUUUGGUUUUUGCUUUAAAGGAUAUACUAUCGUAGUUGACAGUAUAUAGAGUAAUGAGAUUGAUAAAAGGAGUUCUUAAUAUAACAGUGUGAUGGAUAUCAUUUGUUAAAAGAAAGGAAGUCCUAAAUUCAAAACCAUUAUUAUGCACCGAGGCAUCAACUUUAGAUUUUACUUUCAAUUUUAAAUUAUUGGCGGCUGAGAGUCUUUCAUUUGUCUUUUCAUGAAAUCUUUUAGGAACAAUGUCUUCUUUUAUAAAAUUUAAAUCGGCAUCAGUAUCAAAAAGGGUAAUGGUGUCAAUUUCAAAGUCUUUAGAAAGUAUUAAAGUAAUUUUAAUCAAGUAUUUUCUUGUAGUGAUUUGUUUUAAAACAAAUAGAAAAUCAUUGGGUAUAGAUUCAAUGUUUUCAACAUUUUGUUCAUUAUUGCCAUCAGAUUCAACUUCUUUUUCUGAAUUAUCUUCAAGUUGUUUUUGUAGGAGGAGUUGAAUGGUUUCAGAAUCAUUCUUUUGUUUUUCUUUUAACUCUUUUAUCUCGAGUUUAAUUUCUUUUAUCUCAUUCGGAAGGUCUUGGAUGUUAGGAAUUGUUUUCUUUGUUUUCUUUUUAUCCAAGAUUUCAGUUAGGUCAUAUGUAUUCUUUUUAAUUAUCAGGGCUUUAGAAGAUUCUGCUUUAUUGAGUUCUAGAGUUUUUAAAAGUUUGUCAAGGUAUUCGUUUUGGAGAUUUGGAUCAAAAAUAUGUUUAACCAAUUCAAGAAAAGUCUCUUGAUCUUUAGUCAAAACAUUAAUCUUCUUUAAAUAGAACUCUGUGUCAGAAUCACUAUUACUGGAUACAGAUGUAUAUGAGUCAAUUAACUCAUAAUUUGUAAGGGCUCACUAUCUCCCGUCAUGGAAGACUCAGAGUCUGAAGACUCUACAAACAGAUAGGCGACUUUAGAAAGAGUUUCUUCAUCAAGGCCAAGCUCAUGGAGCUUUCUAUUCAUUCUACAAAAUUUUGCAGUAUGGCCUUUCUUUCUACACAUGUAACAUGUGGCUUCUUUGUAGUUAAAAGGGGCUUUCUGUUUGGCUCUAAAAUCCUUCUUUUUAGAGAAGUUAGGCUUCGUAUAAGGCCUUGAAGGUUUCUUAUACGAAAGUUCUCUAGACUCUUGGAAGGAUUUCCUAUAGCCUUUGGACUUGUAAUAUUUUUGUAAGGUCUUGAAGAACACUUACCAUUAUAAUCUUUAGAGGUGGAAGUUAAUUGAAUUGCUUACAGAAGCUGCCUAAUUCUUGCUUAGAUUUUCUAAGCUCCCAUUUUAGACGCUUAUGAAGUUUCAAGUCUUGGCAAAUCUUUAAACCUUCCUUAUUAAUAAAACUGACUAAUUCACCAUAGGUGAGUUCGUCAUAAGGAAUACGGUUGUCAUAAAGAGCUUUUAUGGAAUUUCUAACCUUUUCUCCUAAUAGGGUAGGUAAACCUGCAAGGAAUUUUUCCUUCUAAGUUAUAUGAUUUGCAUCAUCCCUAAGGAAGAGUCUGGUAAAGAAUGUGGUUUUGUAACUUUGGAAUUCACUAAGUUUCCUACAUCUCAAGUUAUGUAGUAACUCAGCAUUCUUAUCUCUUAGGUGUGAAGGAUCACCUAUGAAAUGAAGGGAUAUAGUCAGAAUCAGGGUAACAACAGCAUCCUGAAUUGGACUAUUGAACUCAUCAAAGAUGGGGGCUCCAUUUUCAUCUGUUUGAAUAGAAUCAAGGAUAUCUAAUUGUUGUUGUUUGGUGAGAAAAUGAUCCCACCAUCCUUUAAGUUGACCCGUAAAAUCGGCUAUGAGAAUUUCUGCAAUGGCUUUGUCAGACGUUCCUGACUGGGUUUUAUAAACAUUGGCUGCCAUGGUCAUUUGUUGCAACAAUCCUAGAAUAUUGUAUUCAGACAUACCAUCAAUAUUCCACUCAUAGACAGAGGAUGCAUUAAAUCGAGAUUGGUUUAAUGCAGCAGGCCUGUUGUCUAUGGCCAGGUCAGGUGGAGACUUGACAGUAGGUAGGGCUAAUUCCCAAUGGAUUUUGUUGGCUUUAGAAACAGGUUCUUCUUUAAAUGCUUCUAUAUCAGAAGAGGCUAUAGAAACAUUGUCUUGUUCUAGUACACCAAUCUUGCUAGAUUGGACACUAUCAGGGGCUAUUUGGAUUUUACUAGAUGAGGAAGAAGAAGCUUCUAUUCUAUCUAGUUGUUCUUUAAUAGCUUUAGCAAAAUCUGAUUUUGACUCUUGAACAAGCUUUUGACUAGUUUUCAAAACCUGAAAAUGUUUGAAAAUAGGCUCUUUAAGCUUUUUGUCAGAAUCCAAUUUUGAUGUAACAGGAGAAACAACUAUGGUUGACUUCUGGAAUUGGUUUUCUAUCCUACUCAACUGUUUUCCUAUCGUAUUUAGAUUAGCAUUACAGAAAUUAUUCUGUUGGAUAAUGCUAUCUAAAUCUGUUUCUGGAUCUUUAUGGAUUUUAUAAGGUGAGGCUUUGAUCUCAACAGGAGGCUCACCAUGUUCAAUGGUCAGACUCCUAAGAAGUGGAUGCUCAGAUUCUAUGAUUCUACCACUACCAGAAAGGUUCCACUCAGUGACUUUUUUCUGAUAGUAAUGGGGUUUGAUGCUUUAAAAUGAUAUGAAAUGUUGUUAUCCGAAGAAUACAUCUCAAACCAAUCAAAAAACAAUAUAUGAAUUUUAUGCAAAUUUACAAACUCAUAAUAAAUUUGUUGGACUUCUUUUCUUUGGUUUAAGAAAUGUUUGAAAAACCAAAGUCUUUUUUCUUUGUUGGAAUCAGAAUAAAAAUAAUUGUGAAGAAGAGUUUUAUCUAAUUCAAAGUCUUUUUCUAUGACAUUAAUGACAUUUUCUAUGAUGGCAGAAAAUGUAGGAGAAGUUGGAGGACAGCAAGUAUAAAAGUAUUUAGGCCUUAAUUCGUUAAAGGUUUUAUAUCAACUUGUAUUAAGCCAAUAUGAAUAUAGUUAAAAUUCUUGUCUUUUAAUUUCUUUAAAGAGUGUUCUGAAAACAGAUGAAUGGUCUCAAAAGGCUUUGAAAGGGUUAUGUCUCUUUCUUCAGUUUUUAUAACAUAAUCAUUCUUUAAAAAAUCAAGCUUUUUUGUUUUAUAAAUUAUUUCUUUAUUAACCUUUGGUAAUUCCCAAUUAUCGAUUGCUUUAUUAAAGUCUUCAAUUACAAAUUCUUCUGAAUUUAUAACAUUCUUUGAAUCACUAGUUCUUCCAGAAGAAGAGCUAGAAAAGGACGAUGCUCUACAGAGCAGAGAAUCCAUGGGUAAAAACCUAUAUUCUAGUUUUAGUCUUGUCAAUAUGGCUACAAUCCAAGGUAAGGCUUGGUUUUACUGCCCUUCAGCCAAAUCGGGACUUACGACCAAAUACUACCUAGGCACACAGAGGUAACACUCACCACACAAACAAUGUUCAGCCAAGAUAUAAGUCUUUAAACACAAAGUCUCUAUUCUAUAUUACACUAUCCUCUUCGUGGCUCUGAUACCAGUAGGAUUUAGGAUCGAAGGAUGUUGCGUGCUAAAUGCAGAAAUCAUGGCUUUAUAAGAAAUUUUAUAAAUUAAGGCAACUGGGACAGAUCCCUCAAUCAUGUGGUAAUUGUGGGUCUUUAUUUGCAGAAUCAUGCUUUUUAGAAUGUUUUUGUCUUUUAAAGAAAUUGUUAUAUUUGGUUCUGAUAAACAGAAUAGGCUUUAACAAUAUAUAUAUAUAUAUAUAUAUAUUUAUAUAAUCUUUAUGCCAAUGAAGCGCCCGUCAAUCAGCGAAGUUAAUUUUUUUUUUAAUUCUUUUUCGACUGUGAUUCCGGAGGCUGCUGUCAAGACAAGAUUCCAGAGGAUGCUGAUAAGACAAAUUCAAAUUGACCUUUUUAAUAAUUAUUAUCUUUUCUAAGGUUUAAAAUUUUAUGUGUAACGUACAGCUAAUGUGAUGUAAGUUUUACAUAAGGCCGUUGGAUUCGUUUUUUCAAUUUUUUUUCUGAAUAUUAAUACGUUACAAUGAAAGAACUUGCUAAUAUUUUCCAUAUUGAUCAGGAUAAAAAGAUUGUUGAUACAAUCAUACGUCAAUUUUGUAAUAUUAUAGUACAAUUCAAAAGUUUUAUUUUAUUUUAAAAUAUAUUUAUCCUACAUAUUUAUAAAAGAUAUUGUAAAAGAAUUAAAUUAAUUAAGAUUAAAUCUUCCUGCAAUCAUACUUGUUCAAGCUUCAAGUGUUCUCUACAUUCACUAAAUUUUAUAAAAGUAUCUUCUUACUUUUUCUACUCUAUAGCCUUUCGCUUGUGAUGGAAAAUAAAUUCUUAACCAGCAUAGAUUUGGAUAGGCUAGAAACCCUUUUUAUAACAAUAUUUUAUAACUUAGAAGACUUUACACUUCCUCCAUCAAAGAAGUGAGUUUAAUAACCUUUAUCACUUCGAUUAUGAAAAUGAUUAGUAAACUAUAAUGCUAUCCCUUGAAAUAAAUAAGUAGGUUAUUAAUAUAAGUUUAUCUAUUUAUUUAAAAAAAAUCACUUAUCAUGUGGACUAUAUAAUGAAACUUUUUGGAGAUAUAUCUACCCACAUUUAACUAUAUAAUGAGAUAAGAAAUUAGAGGUCCAAGGAGUAGUACUCAAAUCUACAACCUCAAAAGUUGAGGUCGUGGCAGGCAAAAGAAAAAGGAGAACCAUGUGUUGUUGGGAAAGGAACUUACAUGAGUAACUGCAAAUUAAGCAAACACUAAAUUUUUCCCUCUUUAUAUGAUAAAAUCGGAAUGUGUAUAAAAAAUAAAAAAGUAAAAAAUAAACCAACACAAUUGAAAACAAUAAAUCAACCAUAAGAGAUACAAAUUAUUUUGUGGAAAACUCAAAUCGAGAAAAAACCACAGGACCAUACAGGGGCGGAUGCAUCAUAAGACCAGUGGGGACUUGAGCCCCCACUAGCCAAAAAAAAAAUUCUAAAAUUGAAAGAGAAAAAUAUUUUCGUUUUCUAAUUAACCCCCAUUAAUUUAUUAAAAUAGUCACUAUAAAUUAUAAAACCCUAUAAAAUUUAAACUUUAACUUUUAAAAAUUAUAAAAACUUAUAUUUUAAUUAAAAAUAAUAAUAGCCCACCACCCAAAAUAUUUUAUAUUCUUAAAAAUAGGAUUAAUUCUUCAAGUUUCUAUAAUAAUAGUAGAGCGAACGUUUUCAGUAAUGAAACUCAUGAAGAAUCAUCUUUGGAAUCGGAUGGGAUAAAUGAUAGUUUUGUUGUUUAUAUAGAAAACAAUAAAUUUAAUAAUAUUGAUAAUGAGUUUAUUGCAUAACAUUUUUAAAAUAUGAAAAUGCAUAGAGAAUAAUUAUAAAUGUAUUAGCAAAUAAUUUAUAUAUUCAAAAUUUUAGUUUUUCAUAUUUUACUACUAUCUAAUUUAGCCCCCAGUAAAUUAUUUUUCUAGAUCCGCCACUGGGACCAUAGUCCAAUAUAACCUUCCAUUAUAUUAAUAAUGGGAUUACUACACAAAUUCUUCUCUAAAUAAUACUAGAGGUAAACAAUAUCAAGAAUCUCAACAAUCUUGCUCAUAGUAAUAGUCUAAUAUUUUUCAUUCUAACAAGUGGGUAUCUCAGAUAACAACCAAUGAGAGAAUGAAAUAAAAAUCAAGACCAGUAAGAAUGUAGAGGGCGAUGCCAGAAAUUGCCUUCCAAAUUUGGGAGAUUAAGUUUGCCUUUCGAUCGUCCAUUCAAAGAUUAAAAUCCUUACCCCCAAAUUGAGUUGGCCAUUGUCUUCUUUUUCUCUCUCAUCUUUUCUAUGUUUUUAAGGCUGCUGCUUCACUUGUCUACUUUUUCUUUUAUAGCCAGGUGAUUUUCAAAGCCAAAUUUGAUGGCAAUUUUCAAUUAGCCAUAACAUAUUUCCUUUAAUUUCUUAAACACCCAAACUAAUGGAAACUUUGGUUUGGGCCACCCAAAUGAGAUGGAUUCAACAAAUCUUCCCAUCAGAUCAUAUGGGGGGCACUACCAAGCCCGUUCUCUACUUACAGUCUUUCAGCUUCUCCUUGGGCAACGACUUUGUCAUCAUAUCUGACACAUUCUUCAUGAAUAUAGUCAGGCUACAACUAUUUCUUUUCAAGCACGUCUUGUAUUCAUUGAUAUCUCACCUUAUAUGCUUGAAUUUCGAAUGGUAUGUUAAAUUCAUUGCCAAGUGAGAGCACUUUGAUUAUCACAGUACACGACAUAGCUAUUUUGUUUCACAUCCAGCUCUUGUAAGAAAUUCUUCACCACAAAGGGUUUUAGUGAUUGCAAUAUACUCUGCUUCUAUGGUGGGGACAACAACACGAAGUUUGAAAUCCUCUUAGACUACCCCCUGCAAAGGUAAGCAAAUAUCCUGAUAGGAAUUUUCUAGGAUCAACAUCUCUUGCCAUAUAUGUUGUACACUUAUAACACAACUUGUCACCAUUAAAACAUAAACAUGUCUUGGAAGUGACUCUGAGAUAUCUGAGGGUCCAUUUCACUGCUAUUCAGUUUUCUUUGCCUGUACUAUAAAGAAACUGACUGAGUACACCGACUGCAUGGGCAAUAUUUGGUACAAGCCAUGGCGUACAUUAGUCUGCAAAGUGUUGAAGCAUAAAAUAGUCCUUUUAUCUGCUGCUUCUCUUUCUCGCUUGUAGGAAAAUGCUUGGAACUAAACCUAAAAUGGCCCGCAAGUGGAGAACAAACAUAUUUUGCCUUGCUCAUGUUAAUUCUUUCAAGUGCACUUUCAAUAAAUGCUUCUUGAGAUAACCAUAACAUGCCAAUUUUUCUGUCAUAGGAAAUCGUCAUGCCAAGAAUGUAUUUGUCGAUCCUUGGUUUUUUAUUAUAAAUGACUUGCUAAGCUUUUUCUUUAGAUUAUCAAUCUUACUAGCAUCAUGGUCAACAAUCAACAUAUCAUCCACAUAAAGCAAAAGAAUGAUAAAAUUAUUAUCACCAAGCUUCUUUACAAAAAGACAAUGGUCAGACAUAAUCUUGCUAAAACCAUGAUUCUCUGUAAAAAAAUCAAACUUUUUGUAAUAUAGUCUCGGUGCCUAUUUCAGUCAAUACAAACUUUUCUUCAACUUGCAUACACUUUCUUUGUUGCCUUUAACAUUGAAUCAUUUAGGUUGCUCCAUGAAUAUCUCCUCCUUUAAGUCACCAUGCAAGAAACUCAUUCUCAUAUCCUAGAGACUUUCUAUCCAUCAACAUCCAAGAUUUAUCCAUAUUUAGACUAUUAACUUUCCUACAAAUGCAUCACAUUUCAUUUGUUCAGUUUUAUUAAUAUUGGAGUUUGAUAUUGUUUCCAACCAUAAGAACAACUAUUAAAGUUACAAAAUCAACAAGAAAACAGCAGUUAAAAUACAAUAAAAAAUAACACUUAACAGCAAGAGAAAACCUAUAUCUUCAUCAUGACUAAUUAUAACAGUAAUAUUAUAAGCCAUAUACCAUAAAUCAUGGAAAGAGCAAAUAAUAUAAUUUUCAAAAAAUAGAGAAAUAGAAAAAAAUAGAAGUACCUUUUGCUAUUCGUUCCAAGAAUCGCGGAGCAGGUAACAACUUAAGAGACUAAAUCACGACUAAAAAUAGAGAAGAAUAGAAGCAAGACUUGUUUUUAGAUUUCUACUGAAAAAGACAAAAUUAUUGAAAUAAAACUUGUCCACGACAAUAAACUAGCUAGCUAUUGAAAUGAUUUAAACAAUCCAUAAAUAAAGUAUUAAAUUAAGUAUGCAAAUGUCACAUGUAGCAAAACAACAUAUGCAAUAUGAUGAAAUUUCAACAGCAAAAUUGGGUGUUAAAACCGUUAAAUAAAAUCCAUUUUUCCAUUAGAGAAAUCUAAAUUUUGAGAAUUUUGGUUUAGCUUGCUUUGGUCAAACUCAGUCACUCUGCACAGUGACAAAGAAAAAGAAGCAGUUGAAACAAAAUGAGAGUGACAUUGCAUAGACUUGAUAGUGAAAUGUCACUUUCUUGAUGCUAAUUUAUUCCGUUUCUAUUUGGAAUGAUUGAUACAAGCGGAAAGGUGUUAAAGAAUUGCUUAAAAUACUUUAUAGGGGCAAAGAGCAAUUGCAGCAGUUUAGCCAUGUAAAUAAGUAAGAACUUGACCAGUAUGUAAAGUUCACAAAGUAGCUAGAAGAACUCCCGAGAAGGCAUUAGUAGAAUGUAGCCACUAUAAAAAUUUCCACAAACAAAUUAAUUUAUAAAAAAGCAGUGGAUAAGGAGUUAAGCAUACAUUAAUUUGUUUUUGGAACAUACAGCGAAAUUUCCAUAUUGGCUACUAUUCCACUAAUGGUUUCUUUCCACAAUUCCCAAUAUUAAGAUCUAUUGAAAACUAAGCAUACAUUAAAUUGCUUGUGGAAAUUUACAUAAGUCAAUAUAACAGCAGUUGAACUGGAUGCAGUUUGGGUGGAGAAAAAUAGUUUCUGUUCCUAAUUCCCAUUAUUAUGUUCUAUUGAAAAUUAAACAUACAUUAAUUUGUUUCUGGAAAUUUACAUAAGUCAAUAUAAUAGUAGCUGAACUGGAUGCAGUUUGGGUGGAGAAGUAGUGAGCGCUGGUUUUGGUGGAGAUGUUGGAAUUAAAGAGGUACUAAAUAACUACAACUUUAAAUCAAAAGAAAGGUUUGUGCUAAUAUUUGCCAUGCAUAACUUCAACUUUAAAUCAAACUAAUGCUUACAAAUGGCAUGCAUCCAUAUCCACCACGUCGCAUACUACAUCACUCUUAUAAAUCUUUCUAAUGGAGAAAGGAACACGACAUUAUUCGCAUUUUUGUCCCUUUCUUAAUCUACUAUAUUUUGUAAGGUGCUGGGUAUUUUUCUGUUGAAAGUCCUAUCAUAUCGAUUAGCGCCUUUAAAAUUAUGUUCUCACUAUUGUCGAUAUCAAUUAUCACGUUGCACACCUUAUCUUUGAUGGUGCCACGUGUUCUGAAAUCUUAUUGCACUAAUUAUCCUCUUCAAAUCUUGGUGCUAAUAAAAUCUUCUACAUAGUGUAAUUCAACAUCUCUCCUUCAUGUACCUCUAACUCUAAAGCUUCUUCAUCAUCCUCAUCCUCAACAUUAUUCAUCUCUGCUUAGCCAUAGCGUUUAUUUUCUCUCUUUCAAAUAUCAAAUAAUGGUUAAUAUUUUCUUCAGCAUUAUCUUUUCUUUCUUGCUUGUGAUGCUGCUGCUGCUGCUGCUCAUGAAUGAUAAAGUGGCGCUAGGGCAAGAUGGGGAUCCCGUGGGAUCAACACAAGGAGGAGGAGGAAGAGAAAUGGUGCCUGCCUUGUUCAUUUUUGGAGAUUCACUUAUCGAUAAUGGCAACAAUAACAAUCUUCCUUCUUUUGCCAAAGCAAAUUAUUACCCCUAUGGUAUCGAUUUCAAUGGUGGCCCAACUGGCCGCUUUUCUAAUGGCUACACCAUGGUCGAUGAAAUUGGUAACUCUCUUUAUCUAUGCAUUUGAUUUAUAUUUUUAUAAUUUUUUUUCCUUUUCAAAAUCCUGAAGGUACAUGAAAAUUUAUAUACACCAUGAUUGCAUGCAAUGCAGGGUAUUUUAAUUGCUGAUCUGACGAAUUAUUAUGAUUACUUCUUUGCUAGCUAAAAAAAAAAGCAUAAAACAGAUGUCAUUUUUAGAUUUUUCUUCUUUGUAAAUUUGUGUCACACUCUUGAGCAUAGUUAGAAAUAUCUGUGAAGCGAGUUUCAUAGUCAUGGCUUCAAUGACACAUAUCCAAAUUCAUUACAAUUAAUUAAUUGAUUUCCUACUUCUAUCCCUUUUAAAAAAAAUUAACAAAAUAAAAGUACUUGUUUAGUUAUCUAUUUCGGGGGGGGGGGGGGGGCGGGGGGAGGACGACUAUUGCCAUUUAUUGCUCUGCCCCUACCUCUAUAUGUCUCUUUGGGAGGGCUCGCACUGUCCCAUAAUAUUUAUUUCUAAACAAUCACAGUCAUUAUCUUAAAUCAAUAAAAAUAACAGAAUUUUUUCUUUUAUUUUUUACAUUUAUUAUAUCUACACCCACCUAUACCUAACUCGUAUUAAUCCGCAAGUACGAUCUGUUUGGGGAUAAAUUCACCAUAUCUGGUAGGCAUGUCUUAUUAAUGGCUAAAAGCUUCCAUAUGCAUAACCUCUUUAAAUUGUGUCCCCUUUCAAAGAAAAUUUUCUUUUUUGUCCAUUAGCUUUUAUUUACUCUUCACAAAUAUUUUUAAUGCCAUAUUAACCAAAUCUUGUAAAUUCAUCCAUUCAGCUGAACUACUGGGACUUCCUCUGAUUCCUGCAUACUCUGAAGCUUCCGGUGCACAAGUGCUUCACGGAGUCAGCUAUGCUUCUGCCGCUGCUGGAAUCCUCGACAUCACCGGAAGAAACUUCGUAAGGACUCAUAUAUCUAAUUCAAACGAACCAGGAUUCCCUUUUGAUCUGAAUUUUAAUUAGAGGAUUUUAUAUCUAACACGAGAUCCGAUCAUUAGUAGAAAAUUUUUGCUGCAUGGUCAGGUAGGUCGCAUACCGUUUGAUCAACAAAUAAGGAAUUUUCAGAACACACUUGAUCAGGUCACUGAUAAUCUCGGAGCAAGUGAUGUAUCAAAUGCAAUUGCAAGAUGUAUAUUUUUUGUAGGAAUGGGCAGCAAUGACUACCUAAACAAUUAUCUCAUGCCCAAUUACAAUACCAAAAAUCAAUACAAUGCUCAGCAAUAUGCUGAUCUUUUGGUUUCAGAAUACUCAAGACAACUCACAGUAAGAUUCAAUUUCACUAUAUUUACAUUUUUUACCAUAUGCAUGCAUUUUAGUUACUUUAUUUUUUUAGCUUGUAAACAUAUUUAUAUAACUUGUAUUAAGUAUUGAUUGAAAAUCUACAGACCCUUUACAAUUUGGGAGCAAGGAAAUUUGUGUUGGCCGGAUUAGGAAGAAUCGGAUGUAUUCCAAGAAUUUUGGCUCAAAAUCAAAUGGAUCGCUGUUCAGAAGAAGUGAAUCAACUUGUUAUGCCUUUUAAUGCAAAUGUGAAGACUAUGAUUAACAAUCUUAAUGCCAAUCUUCCUGGUGCAAGAUUCACCUUCAUUGACAUUGCCCGCAUGUUUGAAGAUCUCCUCACCAAUUAUAGAUCAUACGGUAUGCAAUUUUCCCACUAAACAUAUCGUAUUGUAGUUAGAUAUGAUGUGUGCUGUCUGGCCUAAAAUCUUUUAUUUUAAAACGUGUAGACACUGACAAAAGAUAAUAAAGAUUUCGUCCUCAUAUUUUAAAAUCAAGGAACAAUUUACAGUGGCUGAACUAGGAUUUUGAUUUGACAAGCACGGCCUAGAGGUGGAAAUAACGGAGAAAUUAUCGUCUUGCUGUGCUACAAUAAAAGCAAGACAUUUUAAAAUUAAAUUUAAAUAAGUGCAUAAAAUAAGCAAAAUUUUACUUAAUAGAAUAAUGUUUAUGAUCACUUUUUUUUUUAUCCCAAAUAAUUCUGCAGGAUUCAGUGUAAUAGAUCGAGGGUGCUGUGGCAUUGGACGAAACGGAGGCCAAAUUACAUGUCUUCCAUUCCAAAUACCAUGUGCAAAUCGAGAACAAUACCAUGAGCAUUUCACCCAACAGAAGCUGUGAACAUUAUGUUUGGAAGAAAAGCUUUCUAUGGUGACCAGUGCGUUGUUUAUCCCAUGAACAUCCAGCAGCUUGCCAGUCUUUAAACUUAGAAAUUAAAGGGACAUUUAUGUUAUUGUAAUGUUUCUUGCUUGCUUAAUUGCUUUGCAUAAUUGUUGGGAUUAUAUGCUUUUUUAAAGCAUAUUAAUUUAUUUUUUGAUUAAUAAAAUAUUUGAGAUAUUUUCAAUUGAAUAAAUAUUUUGAAUAAGGUCCGUUUAAUCAUAUUAUAUGUAUUUAUGUGAUCAUCAUAUGGAUUCACAGAAGAUAUAAAUACAAGUUAUCUUAUGAUUAAAUAAAUUAAGUUCGCAGUUGAUAAAUAGAGUUGGGCGCUCUAUUUAUGUUUAGGCUGUAUGUAAAAUAAAGAACGGAGUUUAUGAAUAAAACUCUCCUCAUCUUGCAUUAACGUUGCUACAUAUAUAUAUAGAUGUACAGCCCUAAAGAAUAGAAUCCUAAGUAGAAAAGCAUUACAGAUUCAUAAUAUAUAUACAAAUCUAAUUGCCUUAAAUAUGAAACCGAAUUCUAUACGACUUCUAUAUACAAAACCGAAUGCUAUACGAAUUCUAUACGUUAAUACUGUAGUUAAUUGUUAUAAGUGAAUAUGAAAUAGUUCACUCAAAGCAAGGAUAAAUGGCUGAAAGUACUACACAUUUUAUUCACAAUGAGGUUGCCUUUUAUAGGCGUUACAUGAACAAACUUAAUGAAAUAAUAGCAGUCAUUAUUCAACAAAUACUGCAGCCACUUUCCAGUAACUAUAGCCUAAAGACUAGGUAAACACAAUCUUGCAAAUAACAUUACCAACAAACUUCCUAAAGACUAGGACCAUAAAAGCAACUUAUUGACACAAGGAAAUUCUAACAAUCCCUCCCUUAAACUAAAUGUUAUUAACAUUCAGUUUAAACAUUCUGCAGAAUCUUCCUCAAAUUGCAAUUUGCAAACUCCAAGUGACUUUCUCAGCUUCAAAAAAACUAGCCAAUUUGAGGGGUUUAGUAAAGAUGUCAGCAACUUGGUCUUCACUCCUGCAACUUGCAUAGAAGUAGGAAUAUGCAGUGGUAAUAACAAUUUGGAUUGCACACGCUCUCGCACAAAAUGACAAUCUAACUCGAUGUGCUUUGUUCGCUCAUGAUAGACAGGAUUCUCGGCGAUAUAUAAAGCUGAUUGAUUAUCACAAUAAACAGUCAUAGGAUCAUGUGUGAAGGUGCCCCAAAUCAGCAAAAAGUGCUUUGAGCCAUUGUAAUUCACAUGAAAGAUCAGCCAAGGAGCGAUACUCAGCUUCUGCUGUAGAUCGAGAGACCACAUUUUGCUUCUUUGUUUUCCAAGAUAUAGGGCUGUCACCAAGGAAAGUACAAUAACCAGUAACAGACCGACGUGUAGUAGGACAACUACCCCAAUCCGCAUCACAGUAACCCCGGAUAUGUAAGUCACUUGUUGAAGAUAAUAAGAUGCCCUUGCCUGGUGAGCCUUUUAAAUACCGAAGCACUCGAAUGGCAGCAUCCAUAUGAGUAGUUCGUGGUUCAUGCAUAAAUCGACUUAAAACAUGUACUGCAAAGACAAUAUCAGGCCUGGUAACUGUGAGAUAGAUCAACCGACCUACAAGACGUCGAUAACUUGAGGGAUUUGAUAAAAGGUCGCCAUCCGUAGAUGAAAGCCGAAGUUGUUGCUCCAUUGGAAAAUGAGAAACUCGUCCAGCAAGUAAACCAGCAUCCUUUAAAAUAUCCAGGGCAUAUUUUCGCUGACUCAAGAAGAUCCCACGUGAUGACCGUGCCACUUCUAUCCCAAAAAAUACUUCAACUUCCCUAAUGCCUUGAUGUAAAAUUUCUGUGCAAGAAAAUCUUUAAUUCUGCUAACCUCAGCUGCAUCAUUCCCUACUACGAUAAUAUCAUCAACGUAAACUAACACAAAGGUUGAAAAUUUGGCAUUAGUUUUUACAAAUAAUGAAUAGUCAGCUUUAGAUUGGCGAAAACCAGCUUGUUGAAUGGUAGCAGAAAACUUGGAAAACCAAUUUCUGGAUGCUUGUUUUAAUCCGUAGAUAGAUUUGUUGAGUUUGCAGACUAGAUGCUCCCCCUGCUUAGAAAAACCUUAUGGUACUGGCAUAUAAACUUCUUCCUCUAAAUCUCCUUGUAAAAAAGCAUUGCUUACAUCUAAUUGUUCUAAAAUCCAACCCUUAACAGCCGCAAGAGAAAGUAAAGCUCUCACAGUGACAAGCUUAGCAACCGGUGAAAAAGUAGCAUGAUAAUCAAUGCCUUCUGUUUGAGUAUAUCCCUUAGCAACUAAACGAGCUUUGUAACGCUCAAUGGUGCCAUCGGAUUGAUAUUUAAUUUUGUAAACCCAUCUGCUGCCAAUAGCCUUUUUACCAUCCGGCAAAUGAGUCAGAGUCCACGUAUUAUUUUUCUCAAGAGCUGUUAUCUCAUCCUCCAUGGCUUUGCGCCACUCAGGUAACUUGACUGCCUCAUGAAAAAAAACUUGGUUCGGUUGUAGAGGUAAUGGCAGACAAAAAGGACUUAUGUGCUGGAGAAAAACGAUGGUAAGAAAUAAAAUUGUGAAGAGGAUAUUUCUUACCUGGAGACAAAGAAGCAAGAUCAACAUGGGUAGAAUUGUGAGAAGCCAAGGUACAAUAAUCUUGAAGGUAAGCUGGUGGGCGUCUAUCACGUUGGGGUCGUGUGGGAGUUUGGAUAUUUUGGUUGCCUAAAGAAGGUGAUGAAUCUAAGGUUGCAUCUGCUGGUGAACCAGGCUGUUGGGUAGAGGAUGUUUCAGUUAUGAUGUGUUCAUGAGUGGUGUUAGGAGAAGAAGAAUUGGUCACGGAUGGAUCUGUUUCUUGCAAAGGUGGGUCACGUUCAUGAAGAGCAUGUGAUGAACUUAUGCUUUCAUUAAGAGAAGGUGAUAAAAGAGUAUUGGACUCAAAAAAAAUUUCAUCAAAUAAAAACUCACUAGUGACAUGUGUAGAAAAAACCGGUGAUUUAACAUCCUUAAAAGGAAAAAUAUGUUCAUAAAAGAGAACAUCUCGUGACACAUAGAUUAUCUUAGAUUCAAUAUCAUAAAUCCGAUAUCCUUUUUGACUAAAAGGAUAACCAAUAAAAAUUCCUAUUUUUGCCCACUGAUCAAAUUUAUUUUUAACUUGUAAAUUUUUGGCAAAACACAAGCAACCAAAAACUUUUAGGCGUGAUAAAUCUGGUGCUAUACCAAAAAGCAUUUCAUGUGGGGAUUUUCCAUUAAGAACAUCACUAGGCAAUUUAUUGAUCAAAUAUGCUGCAGUAAGAACACACUCCCCCCAGAAUUUAAUUGGCAAAUUGGCUUGAAAACGUAGACCUCGCGCAACUUCGAGAAGAUGGCGAUGUUUACGCUCAACCACACCAUUCUGUUGCGGUGUUCGAACACAACUUCUUUGAUGAAUAAUCCCUUGGUCUAAAAAAAAUUUUUGUAAUUCUUUAACAAGAAAUUCAGUCCCAUUGUCAGAACGCACAAUUUUAAUGUUAGCAUUAAAUUGAGUUUUUAUCAAUGCAUGAAAAGAACAUAAAUGCAAUUGGGUUUCAGAUUUGGUUUUCAUUAAAUAUAACCAAGUGCAUCGAGUAUAAUCAUCAACAAUGGUUAAAAAAUAAUGAGCCCCUGAAAAACUUGAAGUUGAAAAAGGACCCCAAACAUCACAAUGGAUUAAUUCAAAAGGUAUUUUACUUUUGAUGCUACUAAUGGAAAAUGGCUUUCUAGUUUGUUUUGCUUUAGGACAAAUAUCACAAACAUAUUCUUUAUUAAAACUAACCAUAGGACAAGUUUUUGAAAAAUGCUCUAAACGUCCAAGAGAAGGGUGGCCAAGUCUCCAAUGCCAAAGAUCAAUCUCAUGUGUAGAGGUGAUUUGGGAGGUGAAAGAAAAUGCAGCUGGAAGUUGGAUGUAAAAAAGACCUUCACGAAGUCUACCCUUGCCAAUCUGCUUCUUCGUGUAUAGGUCCUGAAACUCACAAAAAUUGGAAGAAAAAAUUACCUUAUAUCUAUUUGAUUUGGUUAACUGACUAACAGAUAGUAAAUUAAACUUAAAACUCGGAAUGUAAAAUACUUUGUCUAAUAAAAAAUCUGGUGAAAAGGAGACUUUCCCUAUGUGAGUAACUUGUGCUACUGUACCAUCUGGUAAUUGAACGUGAAGAGGAACAUGACAUGGUUCAUAGGAGUGAAAAAAAUCUAGCGAACUACACAUAUGAUUAGUAGCGCCUGUAUCUAUGAUCCAAGUAUGUGAUAAAGAGGAAUUAAGUGCUAUACCUGCAAGAUUCGCAGUAUGUAGACUACCUGAAGAGGACAACAUAGCUAGGAGUUUUUGAUAUUGCUCUUGAGUAAAUAUUGGUGCUUGGACGUCUUGAUUGUUAUUUGUUGCCGUGGCAACUUUAAUCUCAUUUUUAUUACCUUGUCCACGUCUUCUCCAAUUUGGUGGAUAUCCAUUUAACUCAAAACAUUUUUGUUUUGUGUGGCCUAAUUUUCCACAGUGUUCACACGAUGGUCUGCCACCAUUUGCAUUCAAGUUUCCUCCUUUGUUAUCUACUGCAGAAUUGUUAUUCCAAUUCCUAUUUCCAAAUGAAUUUCGGCUUUGUGUUGUCAAUGCUGCAGCUUCUGGAGAUCCCCCUAUAGCGUGAAGAUCUUGUUGUUUUUCUUCUUGCCUCACAAGAGAAUAAAUUUUAUUUGCAUUAGGAAAAGGAUCCAUCAACAAAAUCUGAGUCCUCGUUGCUGCAUAUCUAUCAUGUAAGCCUUGAAGAAACUCCAUAGCUCGAUCUAGUUGUUGCAAUUGACUGACAGUUUUUGCAUUCGCACAAGUACAUGGUCCUAUUUGUUGUAGAGAAUUCAACUCAUCCCAAAGCGCCUUCAUGCGAGUAUAAUAAAGUGAAACAGAUGCAUCUCCUUGUCGUAAAUUAGAGAUGGCCUGUUUGAGUUCAUAGAUUUUUGGCGCAUUGGUCUGCUGAAAACGUUCUUGCAAAUCCUGCCAUACUUCUCUAGCAGACUGUGCAUACAACACACUUCCCGCAAGUUCACUUGAUAUGGAGUUUAACACCCAAGAUCCAACAAGAUCAUUACAACGUUGCCAUCUACCACCAUCAUCUUCAUCUUCAUCUGGUUUUGAUAUAGUUCCAUCAACAAAACCGAGCUUAUUUUUCGCUCGUAAAGCCAUAGUCAUUGCCCUUACCCAUGUACCAUAGUUAUCACCAGUGAGUAAAGGAGAAACCAAUACAGCAGUUGGACUAUCUGAUGGGUGGACAAGGAAGACAUCAUCCUCUUGUUUAUUAAGGAUGGCAGCCUGUUUUGAUGAUUGACCAUCUGCCAUGAGUAUUUAAACAAAAGCAAAAGAACGACGAUAAUAAUUUGAUAAGUGAGUAAAUCUCUGAUACCAUGUAAAAUAAAGAACGGAGUUUAUGAAUAAAACUCUCCUCAUCUUGCAUUAACGUUGCUACAUAUAUAUAUAGAUGUACAGCCCUAAAGAAUAGAAUCCUAAGUAGAAAAGCAUUACAGAUUCAUAAUAUAUAUACAAAUCUAAUUGCCUUAAAUAUGAAACCGAAUUCUAUACGACUUCUAUAUACAAAACCGAAUGCUAUACGAAUUCUAUACGUUAAUACUGUAGUUAAUUGUUAUAAGUGAAUAUGAAAUAGUUCACUCAAAGCAAGGAUAAAUGGCUGAAAGUACUACACAUUUUAUUCACAAUGAGGUUGCCUUUUAUAGGCGUUACAUGAACAAACUUAACGAAAUAAUAGCAGUCAUUAUUCAACAAAUACUGCAGCCACUUUCCAGUAACUAUAGCCUAAAGACUAGGUAAACACAAUCUUGCAAAUAACAUUACCAACAAACUUCCUAAAGACUAGGACCAUAAAAGCAACUUAUUGACACAAGGAAAUUCUAACAAUCCCUCCCUUAAACUAAAUGUUAUUAACAUUCAGUUUAAACAUUCUGCAGAAUCUUCCUCAAAUUGCAAUUUGCAAACUCCAAGUGACUUUCUCAGCUUCAAAAAAACUAGCCAAUUUGAGGGGUUUAGUAAAGAUGUCAGCAACUUGGUCUUCACUCCUGCAAUAAACAAGAUCAAUGACUUCAUUUUUUGUCAAGUCUCGCAAGAAAUGGUAUCUCACAUCUAUGUGCUUGCAUCUUUCAUGUAGAACCAGAUUCUUUGAAAGUUUAAUUGUUGAACUAUUAUCACAUAAGAUUUGUGUUGACUCUGGUUGCUUAAACUGAAGUUCAUGAAGAAUAUUUCUUAGCCAAAGUGCUUGACAUGCACAAGAAGCUGCUGCAGUAAACUCAGCCUCAGUUGUUGACAAAGUAACUAUCGGUUGCUUCUUAGAUGACCAUGAAAUAGCUGCUGAACCAAACAUAAAUACAUAUCCAGAUAUGCUUCUUCUGUCAUCCAAAUCUCCAGCAUAAUCACUGUCUGUAAAGCCAUACAAAUCUGAUUUUUUUUACCCUUUUUGUAGAACAACCCAAAUUCAGUAGUACCACGCAAGUAUCGAAGAAUUCUCUUUGCAGCUAAAAGAUGAUCCUCUCUUGGACGCUCCAUAUAUCUGCUGAUGGAACUAACUGCAUGCAUUAUAUCAGGUCGAGUUGCCAUUAAGUACAUCAAGCUUCCAACAAUCUGUUUGUAAAGGGUACUAUCAACUAUUCUUCCUGCAGGAUCCUUAACAAGCUUCAAUCCUUUUUCAAUUGAAGUAGUGACAUAGUUGCAGUUCUUCAUUUGAAAUCUUUCUAAGAUCUCUUCCACAUAUUUCUUUUGACAAAUAAAAUUUCCAGCAUCAAAUUGUAUGACUUCUAAGCCAAGAAAAUAAUGCAGCAAACCAAGAUCAGUCAUAUCAAAUUCAAGCAUCAUGGAUUCCUUGAAUUUCUCAAACAUUACUCUGUCAUUUCCCGUGUAAAUCAAAUCAUCUACAUAUAAACAUACCAUAAGCAUUUUCCCAUCAUCUCCAAUUUUUGUGUAUAGAGUAAGCUCAUAUGAGCAUUUUCGAAAACCUUCCUUCAAGAAAUAAGCAUCUAUAUGACUAUACCAAUUUAUAGACUUUAUGCUCACUGCCUAAUUUCACAUAUCCAGAAGGUUGUUCGAUAAAUACCUCUUUUUGUAGCUCCCAAUGCAAGAAUGCUGAUUUCACGUCCAGUUGAAAAACAGGCCAUGAAUUUUGUGCUGCAAGAGCAAUAAUCAAUCUAAUCAUUUGAAGUCUUGCAACGGAAGCAAAUACUUCUUUAUAAUCUACACCAAACUCUUGCUUGUAGCCUUUGGCGACUAGGCGUGCCUUGUAUUUAUCAAUUUCACCAUUUUCCUUCAGUUUUGUCUUGUAAACCCACUUGACUCCUAUUGUCCUCUGCCCCAUUGGAAGUUCAGUCAACUCCCAAGUAUUAUUUUUUUCAAUGGAUGCAAUUUCUUCGUCCAUGGCUUUUAGCCAUUUUUGUUCUUUGACAGCUUCUUUAAAAGUUGUAGGAUCACAUUCUGAAAACAAGGCAAAGUGUAUGAGUGGAUUCUCAAGAGUGUUAAAUCAUGUUACCUCAUAAUCUAACAUCCACGCAGGCCUUCUUCUAUCACGUUGAGAACGUGAAUCUGUAGCUUCAACUUGUUCAUCAAGUUCAUUUGUUGUUGGUGGAGCUUCUACUGAGACUCUAUUUUGCGGCAGGUCAGGAGCAAAGACUGUUGAAGGCUGAAGUUGCUAUGACUUUUCUUCAAUUUCACCAUCGAAAUCUGCUAGAAUUUGCUGCCCAACAGAACUGCAUCUCCACAUCCAUGUCUUCUCUUCAUAAAAAAUGACAUCAUGACUAAUGACAAUUUUCUUGAUGAUGGGAUCAUAUAAUUUGUAGGCCUUUGAAUGAUCACUAGCACCAAGAAAAAUGCACUUUACACCUUUGUCAUCUAAUUUUCUUCUUUUCUCAUCUGGUACGUGGACAUAUGCUAUACAUCCAAAUACCCGAAAGUGAUCUACUGCCGGCUUACGUCCACUCCAUGCUUCUUCAGGAUUCAUAUUUUGAACAGCUAUUGUGGGGCUUCUGUUCAAAAUAUAAACACUCCAAACAACUGCUUCAGGCCAAAAACUUUUGGGAAGACCACUCCUCUGCAGAAGGCUUCAUACCAUAUUAAGAAUUGUACGAUUUUUCCUCUCGCAUACACCAUUUUGCUGAGGUGUGUAGGCUGCUGUCAAUUGUCUUCUAAUUCCAUGAUUUUCACAGAAGCUUCCAAAUUCUUGAGAGUUGAACUCUCCACCACAAUCAGUACGCAAUAUUUUAAUUUGGCUGUCAUCUUCUCUUUCAACUAGUGCAUUAAACAUUUGAAAGGUUGUGAAAGCUUCUGAUUUUUCUUGCAAGAAAUAAACCCAGGUUUUUCGACUAAAAUCAUCAAUAAAUGAGAUAAAAUAUCGUUUACCUCCAUUUGAUGUUGGCUUGAUUGGCCCACAUAAGUCAGAAUGAACUAGCUCCAGCACUUUCUUUGCCCUCCAGGAUUUUCCUUUUGGAAAAUUAUCUCGAUGUUGCUUACUGAAAAUACACUAUUCGCAAAGCUGUGAAGGUUGCUCAAAUUGUGGAAGGCCUACUACCAUAUUUUUCUGCUGCAAGGUCUUCAAUCCACCAAAACUAAAAUGCCCGUAACGAAAGUGCCAUAACCACUCUGUAUCUUUGACAUUUGCAGCAAAACAUGAGUGUGCAGUAUGGUGAAGAUACAAUGGAAACAUUCUAUUUGCCGUCAUUUUCACUUGAGCAAUUAAGCCUAAUUUUUCAUCGUGGAUUCGAAAAACUCCUUCCUUGAUAGAGAUCUCAUACCCCUUUUCUUGUAACUGGCCAACACUGAGAAGGUUAGUUUUCAGUUCAUGAACGAAUAGAACAUUUAAGAUAGAAUGAGAACUUUCCUUGGUUUGGAUUGCAACCCUUCCUUUCCCCAUGACAGAAACUGUGGAGUUAUCACCAAAGUUUACAGUAUUUCGAAAAGUCUCAUUCAAGUCAGAAAAAGCAGAUUUAUCCCCACACAUAUGAUUGCUGCAACCGGUAUCUAAGUACCAUAGAUUUUGGUGACUUUCCCUCCUUUGUAUGACAUGCCAUAAGAAGGGAAAUUUCUUCUUCCUCAUUUUCUGCAAAGUUAGAUUUCUCGCCACGAUUCUUAUUUAAAUUAGUACGGCACUCGGAGCAGUAAUGACCGUACUUCUGACAACGAAAGCAUUUAACUUUCGAUUUGUCUUUAGACUUUGGUUUAUGUCCUGUCGAAUUCUGACCUUCAUAAUCCUUUCCUUUUCCUUGAGAAUCAUCAACAUUUUCUUCUAAUCUGUUCUGCUCAUUCUUGCCUUUCCAGCCUCCUUUACCCCCUCCAGUUGGUUUGAGAUUUGCUGCUGCCUGUAAUGCAUGUUCUUCCUUAUCCUGUCGGAUUACUUUAUGCUCAUGGACUAGUAAAGUGCUUUCCAAUUCAUCAAUCGAAAGUGUGUCAAUAUCCCUUGAUUCCUCAAUCGCACAAACAAUAUAGUUAAAUUUUGCCGUUAAAGAUUGAAGAAUCUUCUCAAUUAUGAUAACAUCCUCGAGCUGCUCGCCAUGAAUUCGUCUCUUAUUUGCGAUUGCCAUUGUCCUUGCAAAGUAUGCUGAGACCAACUCUCCCAUCUUUAUUCGUAGAGAUUCAAAUUCAGCUCGAAGUGUCUGGAGGUGUACCCGCUUUGCCCUUGUUGUCCCUUGGUACUUCUUUUUCAAGGAAUCCCAAAUUUGUUUGGAGGAGUCUUUGCUAAGAAUUGUUUCCACGAUUGAGCGAUCAAUAGCUUGGAACAAGUAAUUCUUUGCCUUGAGAUCCUUUAAUCGUUGCCCUUCAAGCUCUAUUUUCUGAGCAUCCGUCAAAACAACACUGGCUGGUGGUUCAGUUAUUCUAGUUGAAACAACCUGCCAAUACUCCUUGGACCUUAAGAAACUCUCCAUCAACAUGCUUCAAUGGUCAUAGUGACCAUCAAAGCGGGGAAUUGCAAGUUGAACAAAAUUCUCAGAAGCCAUGAAUUUCUGCUGCUGCAACACGAGUGAAAAAAGAGCCAAGUAAGCUGCUGUUACUAACUCUGUCAAUCCCACUUUUCUAAUUCAAGCUCUGAUACCACUGUUAUAAGUGAAUAUGAAAUAGUUCAAUUAAAGCAAGGAUACAUGGAUGAAAGUACUACACAUUUUAUUCACAAUGAGGUUGCCUUUUAUAGGCGUUACAUGAACAAACUUAACGAAAUAAUAGCAGCCAUUAUUCAACAAAUAUUGCAACCACUUUCCAGUAACUAUAGCCUAAAGACUAGGUAAACACAAUCUUGCAAACAACAUUACCAACAAACUUCCUAAAGACUAGGACCAUAAAAGCAACUUAUUGACACAAGGAAAUUCCAACAAUAAUUCAUUGAAUGGUUUGUCUUAAUCAUCUAUCAAUUUACUGAUGUAAUUUGACUACAUUGAGCUGGAUAACAUAUGAGAUUUAAUUAACCUUGAAAUGACUGUUAGACUUAUUAAAUCUCAUAGGCAUUGAUUUUACUAUAAUCUUAAUCUUGAGUUAGUUAUGAUUUCAUGAUUGUAAUUGUUAUUCCAUUUGAUUUACCAAUGGGCACAACACACAAUUGUGGUCAAGAUUACCCGGUAUCUUGGUGGGAGCAAUUAUGAGUAUUAGAGUUAUAGAUUAACAAUAUAGAAUUUGUACGACGCAUCUCUUGAUGGGUUUUUGGCACUUAAUCAUAGAAUUCUCUGGCCAUAGUGUGUCAACAUAUUUAGUAUGUUGAAAAUGAUCAUUAGAGAAAACCAAUAAGGAUCAAAGAACAAGAUGUAAUUAAAUUGAUUGGACAGUUGAGAUAUCGAUUUAAUUAACGAUGUGGUACAAAGGAUUGAGUAGUAAAGAAAUUAGUGUGGCUUGAGACGAAUUAUUAUUCGAACAUAUAAUUAUGGAGGUCAGUUCCAAUCUUAUAGUGGAGUAGAGUUGCAAUUAAAUGAUUAGGCUUAUUUAAUUACAGGCUUAAUUUUUGUAGCCACUAUUGUAUAUUCUCAAAUGAUCCCUGGGUUAGCUCAUUUAAUUGACUGCUUCGCUACUGGAUUAAUAAGUAAGAUAACUAACUAUUUAGGUUAAAAGCCUAAAUAUAUUAUUUAGUGGGAGGCUCCAUUAAUAUGCUUGAGUGUAACGGGCUUUAUGUUAUUUUACAAGGUGGACCCCUAUAACACAUGAACAAGUAACGUGACUUUUGUUUUAAUUAUUUUUUAAUUUAAAUCAAAUGGGAUUUAAUAGAAUUAAAAAAUAAAUAAAUAUGGAGCCUAGGGUUUCCACUAAAUAGAGAUAUAAAAAGGCUUAUUUUCUCUAAAAAAAUAGACAGAGGCCACAUUAUACAAAUCAGAGAAAAAGAUUUUCUCUCUAAUUUUGAGAGAAAAAUUUUCUCGUGCUAAUUGCUUUAGUGGUGAUAAAGACGCCCACAUGUCAAGUGUAGAUCAAACCUGAGUUAUAGCCUGGAAGAUUAUUUGGUGGCGGAUCGUGAUCUAACAGGAGUAGUGGUGACAGAUCGUGGUCUGGGAGCCUAAAUCAUUUUAGUGGAAAAAGAAAAGAUUAUUCAUCUUCUCAAAUUUUCAAGGUACGAUUUCUAGAUUACAAAUUCUUAUAUAUUGUAUGAGAUCGAUCCUAAAAGUUUUUUUAAAAAAAAAAACUGAUUUUUUCCACAACAAUAAUUAGCCACCGAUGUCUCAUCUGUCCAUGUGAGUUUUUACUUGUUUAAUUUGCUUGUGGGAAGUUUAUGUAAUCAAAGAACAAGUUGUGAUUAUGUUUUGUUGCGUUGCUAGUGGUUCAGUAAUUGGGACUACUUUGAUUAUGUUUUGGUAAUAGAUUUUGCUAGUUUACUAGUGCUUCAGUAGGAUUUUUCUUUUUUAAAAUUAUUAACUUAUGCAUCCAUUGAAAUCUGAACUCAAAACUUAAGCCCCAAAGAAAUUGCUUGUUACCGUUGGAAUUAGACUUGACUUUCGUAGUUUAUUAAUCAACUUGCUUGCUAGGUAGCCUUGCCGUAUGAUAUGGUUUGCUAUCUUAUGGGUGGUGAUGUUUCCCUUGCAAUACCCCUCGCAUCUGUGUAAGGACAUCCAUCUAAUUUUGUUGAUAUUUUUGGAAGUUAAACUUUCAUCCUUAAUUUAAAUGAUUGAAAGAUAAUAUAUAAUUUUAGCCUCGGUUGAUUCAAAAAGGGUAGAUUUAAAAGAAAGAUUGAUUCAAAAAGAUUAAAUUAAACGUUCAAAAAAAUUUAUAAAAAAUGCAAGAUAUCCGCAAACUGUCUAAAAUACUAUCCUUUAAUCAAUAAUAUUUUAAAUAAGGAGAUUAUGGGUGGACCAAAAAUCCAUGAACCAAGCCCAAGCAAACGCGCAGAUUUAACAACCCGUUUGGAGCAGCUGCGUUACCAAAUUAUUUAUAGGUUUGGGUUCGGUUACAAAAACUCAACCACAAAAAUAAAUUUAUGUUCACUUAAAUUUCUAUAAAAAUCUUCUAAAACCCCUUUAUAAUUGUCUCCUUCUUUAAAAUUACCGUAUAGGACAAAAUUAUAUCUCAUUAAACCCACCGUAAACAAUUCUUUCACCGACAAUUUUUCUCCUGUACGUAUCUACUUCUGUUAUCUUAGAGUUUAUACGAAAAUUAUUGAAACCUCAAAAUACAACUACAGAAAAAUCUCAAAAGCCGGUAACAACCCUGUUAAAAAUCAAAAUAAUGAUCAUGUUAGAAGACCAUUCCCUGUCAAAUUCCAUUGAAAAUUGAGUGCAUAUAUGACCUAGGCAAAAUAGAGAAAAAAAAAUCAGUUUCAGCUUUAAAAUUGUUGUAGACUGGGUAGUCAGAGGAGUGCCAAUAGUCCAACUCAGUUCAUAUUCAUUUAGAUCUGAGAUGAAGAAAUAAACACCACAAAAUAAACUUAAAUGUUGAAAACUAAUUCUAACCCAACCUGAAUAGAUUUUUAUUGGAAUUUUUUGGUUUAAGUUACUCAAUAGUUUUAGAGUGGAGCUUCUAACAUCCCAUUAAAACUCAUAAGAAACACUACUUAUUCAUUUUUAUAUCUCUUUUUUUAUGAAAUUACAAAAAAGUCCAUAGAAUUACAAUAGAGUUUUAAUUAAACUUCACUAUCAUUUUAGACAUACUUUUUCAUAAUAAAAUUAUUAUUAUUAAGUAAUUUAUUUCCUCAUUAUCUCAAAAUUAUUUUUGACUUUAUCAAACAAAUAAGGUUAAAAAAAUAGUUAGGGGUUUAUGAUUUAUAAAGACAUUUUAGUUUAAUUAAAUUCUUAUUUUUUUCUUUCGGUAAUUUCGAAGAAUAUUAAAGGGGUGUGAAAAACAGUACUCAUAAUUGAAUUAGAUCAAAACUUUCUCAACCCAAAUACGUUUGGAUUUGAUUGGGUUAAUCCCAACAUUCACUCCCCCCUAAAAUGACUUUAUAUAUAGUCAUUAUUAUGAAAAAUAUAAUCAUAGCGUCAACUCUUAAGUAAACUUUUUGGUUGAGAGAGGCGUAGAUCACUAAACAUGUAUUAGUAGUCAAAAUUAGAAGAGGAACUUUAUCUAGAUUACUACAUUUACCAAAUAAUAUUAUAAAAUGUAAAAGUUUUAAUGGGGUGUAUUAAACGGGGUGUACCCCAUCACCAUCUUAAGAAUGGUGAUUUUGAUCCCUUAUUAUAUCUCACAAGCCCCCCAUUUUUCAGUUAAUUCCAUUAAAAAUUUUAAACAAAUCUUUAUCUCUCAAUAUACCUUACCUAAUCUCUAAUUUACCUUUAUUUUAAUUUUUUUUCAUACACCCAUUGUAUAAAUUUUAUAAAAUCAUUUCUUUAAAAAAAAUCUCAUAAUCAUUGUAAUUUCUCAACUUUUUUUUAAAGUUUUAUCCACCACUUAAGAUUUGAUAGUUCCACCAAGAAUUGGAGCAAAGAACCAUGCCGAGUCGGCCCUGAAUAACCUCAGUAUCGUGCUAAGCCUAUCAAGCCAAAGUUGAGUGAAGGAAUACAAGAAUUUGACCAAGGGGUUUGACGUGAUAAAGAUAGAGAUUUUUUAUUAUUAUAAUUGAUUUGGAGCUAAAAAGGGGAUUCUUGAUUUCCUUUUGUAUGCAUCCCAAUCUUGUAUUCAAGUUUAUCUGUUCAUGGACCAGAAUGCAUUACAUUUGGAAAGUGUUUGCAAUUGUACAGUGAUAUUACUUGGACAGUAAUUUGGCAUUGCAAUGCAUUUACAGAACGAAUGAAAAUUUGGAAUCGCAAUGGAAAAUGCUGUCAGGUAUCUAUCUGAGAAUGAAAGCAUUCGCUGUCAGUCUCUAUGGGAUUGCAGUAUAAAAUUUUACAUUGUUCUUCAAUAUUUUGAAUAGAAUGCCUUACUUUGAAUGGAAUGGCUCAGUUUAAAAAGUUAGAAGAAAUUAGAGUUUAAGAAAUUAGAUUCGCUUAAUUAGUUAUUAAUAGAAAUUUUUAUGCCGGUGCACUUAAAAAUUAUUUAUUAUUUUAAGUUAUUUCACAUGAGGAUAAAAUAGGUAUUAACAUAAAAGUUAUUAGUGUGGGUUGAUAAGAUAUAACGAGAGAUUUAAACAUCACCACUCUACUCAUGGAGAAGCUCCAAAACGAUCUCAUUGGUCGAAAAAGGCCAGACCCAUUGAACGAGGACCCUUAAAAUUUGAUCAUAGCUUGACCCAUACGACAGGCUGAACAGGUCAGUCCUUUACACAAUCAAAAUAAACUUGUGAGUAGGGGUGGGCAAAUAACCCAAUCUGAUUCGACCAAAAAACUUGAGUUCAGAUCGGAUGUAGAUGAAUUUCUCAAUCCAAUCAGGUAGGAAUUUAUCGAAAUCGAUCCGAAAAUACACACAAUUAAAGAAUAUUAUUUGAAAUUUUUUAUCCAUUCCAAAUAUAAUUCGGAUUCAAUUAUAAGUCUGGAUUACUUUUUUCCUAACUCGAUUAACCGGAACUCGAACCCAAUCCGAAACUGAAUUUGCCGACCCCUACUUAUUAUCGUUUACACACUACAUUUGUGACUAUCAUUUUCAAACUAAAAUUUUCUCUUGAUGCGAAUAAGAAAAAAAAAACAUAGAGUAAAUUUCGUUUAAAAAAUUAGGCACCAUAGAUGGACCGUACAUAUGGUACAGCUAGCUGAAAUGGAAGUAGCCUUGUGAGAGCUGCCUAUUUUGGAUUCAGGACGAAAUAUUUAAGAAGCAAGCAAGUAAAUAAAUCAGGAAAAUAAUAUUCGGCCACCCUCAUUCCAGAGGGAAGCCAAAAACGACAUACUUAUAUGCCGUUUUGAAGUUUUAGAUUUGAAAAUUAAAAAUAAAUUUUACCAUUAAAAAAUAAUAAAAGCUAAUCAAAAGAUAUUAAAAAAUCUAAAUUCUUAUCCCUCCCCUCGCUCACCGCCUCUCUCUUUGACUCACCCGCUCUGUCCCUCUUACUCUCACCCACGAAGCUCGUUCCCCUCUCACUCACCCACAAGCUUGCUGUCAAUAUUUUGCUCAGAUCUCAGCUAACGCAUCAUCAAAACCGCAACCAUGACGCUAGGCUGAGGAGGAUCCAGUGUCGUGGGUCAGUUUCUUCUCUGAUCUUGCCCUUUUUUGUUCAAUCUAUUUAUGCCCUGGAUUGAUUUAUUCUCUUUGUUUUGUUGUGUUUCUUGUUCUGGCAAAAUCUAUUUAUCUAAUUCACAUACGGGUCGCAGCCGUUGCUUUUAUUAUUUUAUAAUUUUUUUUGGGUGGUUUUGUGUAGUCUUAUGAACAUUCUUUUUGGCAUAAAUGCAUCUGGGUUACUACGUGCCUACGUUUGAUUGUUAAUUAGACCUGAUCCGUAAUUCUAUGCGUUUUUUGAAUUUUUGAUCGCGAAAUUAAGUUAAUUUAGUUUAAUAUUAUUAGAUUAUUGUCACCUAAAAUUAGUAUAUUUAAUCAGUCAAAGAAAUUCUUUUGACACGGACUUUAUGAAACCUUGUAUGUGAUACUUUGCUUAGCAAAGUACUUGGAUUUUGGAUUUUUUUUCUAUUUAUAUUUUAAAAUUACUAGAAAUAAGUUAUUUGAAGUGUGAUACUUUGUGAAAUGUUAAAGCUUACGGUUUGGUUGUAAUUCUGUUUUUGCUUAUAUAUGUUUACGUCUGUUGGCAUUCUUUUUUUUUUUUUUUUUGGUAAUUGAAGUUUGCAUAUAUGGUGUGUAUUAAGAUUUUCAAGUGGUUCUUCAAACAUAUUCUGGGUAGUUUGAUAUAUCACAUGUUUCUGUGAAUUCUUUAGUUGAGGCAAUUGUUUUUGGUCUUAUCUGCAUUAUUAAGUUCUUUACCACAUAGAAUUCCCUAAUUUUCUUCUGCUAAUCCAGUAAUUGCAGCUUCAUUCUAAGGUUCUUCAUUUUCUAUAAAGCAUAUAUUGCUUCAUUAACCCUCCUCUAAAUAUGUUGCAAAUAUGUAUUUGAUUCAUUCCAAUCUUACAGAUCAUUGUUGGAUGCCGAAUCAGCAUACAAUGCUUACAAUUGUGAGAGAAAAAUGAACAACCAAUUGCCCAGUUCAGUUACGCUUUAAGCUAGGAAGAUUGACGUAGAAACAUUUGUUUAAGUGUAAUUACCUAGGUAGGUGAAAAAGGUCCAAAAUCGUCAAGCACACUGUCAACUAAGGCUGGUCGGCGACGUGAACGGCGUGAUAGCGAUGUCGGUGAUGGGCUGGUCGGCGAUGGGCGUGGCGUGACAACAAGUUUCGUGGGUGAGUAACAGCCUGAGAGAAAUAGCUCGCAAGUGGGUGAGUGAGAGAGGCAGAUCGGGUGAGUGAGAGAGACAGAGCUGGUGAGUGAGAGGGAAGGUGAAUGAGAGAGAGACAGAGCAAGCGAGUGAGAGGGACGGGUAAGAAUUUUGGAUUUUUCAAAUUCUUUAGAUUUAAUUUUAAUAUUUUUCAAUGGUAAAAUCUAUUUUUAAUUUUCAAAUUUAAAACUUCGAAACGGCAGAGAAAGCAUGGGUUUCUGGCUUCGUUAUGGUCUCGUGGUGAUGGGCUGGUUGGCGAUGGGCAUGGCGUGACAACAAGUUUCGUGGGUGAGUAACAGCCUGAGAGAAAUAGCUCGCAAGUGGGUGAGUGAGAGAGGCAGAUCGGGUGAGUGAGAGAGACAGAGCUGGUGAGUGAGAGGGAAGGUGAAUGAGAGAGAGACAGAGCAAGCGAGUGAGAGGGACGGG
rnacentral:lncRNA from 1 species